CCUAAUCUACCUAUCUAAAACCUCUUAAACGGAUUACUCACUAAUCAUAACAAGCUCACUAAAUCCUUUGCAAGACGUGUAGCUAGUCAUGAUUACAAGCUUAGAUGCUGGUGAAUAAAAGAAAAGAAAGAGAACAAGAUCUUCACGUGGAAACGAGAUAUCGGAUAAGAUUAAUCAAGUUUCACAAAAGAGGCAAGUUCUCAAAGAUAAAACAGGUAGGAAAUAAGAUAAGAUAAAAGAUGAUUAGGAUUUUGGUCCUAAAAUCUAUUUAUAGUGAGGGAUAAGUGUUGCGGGUCAGCCCGGGACAAUCUGGGUACUGAGCGCUCUUCUUGGGUCGUCGGGUGAGCACCUUUGUGUGCAAGAGAGUGAAGCCGAGGUUCUAAUGUCAAGGGGUGCACGUGAGCAAAGAUCAAGAUGAAGAUCUCAUGAAGAACACAUGAAGAACAUGCAUGAACCCUAGUCUUCAAUCCAUCUUCAUAAGCAUUCUCCGAGCCAGCUUGUUCUUGAAUCUGAGUUUGUGACAAGGGACUUGGUAGUCGAGGGGCUUGGUAGUCGAGGAAUUCAGGCAGAUAAAGUCCAACAUGCAAUACCGGGGUCUUGAAACCGAGGUUCACGUUCAACACUUAGUCGUUUUCAGCUUUGCUUCUUCAGCAUGCAUGCCUUGAUCUUGAAACACCGAGGAGUUAGCACGAGGGCUAGUCCAAAGAGGUUCAAGGGACGAGCCUCGGCCUAAGCAAUGUCGAGGUAAUGAUGCCGAGGCUUGAAGAAACACUUAGCGCAUAUCUCAACUCCUUAGGCUUGUGCUGAUCAACUUGUCUUCCGGUUGCAAUAACUUUCAGCACACGACUCCAAAUGUCUUGAAACCAAUUUCACGAUCAAGAUCAUUCAUUUAGCUCAAACUUUGGUGAAGAAACCAUCGGAGCUUGGGAAGUGGAAGGCUCCCUGGAUUGCUUAUCUUUGCGACGCAUUAGAACAACCGGAAAAUCAGCUUUUAGACAGACGUCUCUUCCGGAGAUGAUAUCUUCCAGACCACAGCUCCAAAUUUGAUGAACGCAGGUGUUCUAACAAUAUCACUUAGAGAUCUCAAACAUUGAUGAAGGCUCUGAAGACUGAUUCGAGCUGGAAAGGCAUCGUCCCACGUAAUCUUUGAAACCCAUCGGAUCGGCCCUUAUAUGCAUCCGAGACAGGUGUGUCUCCCGGUGGCGAUAUCUCUCUACUCACUGCUCCGAAUUCUAUGAUUCUAACUGUUCUGGGAUCUUGACUUGAUUACCUCCAACUUGGAUGAAGACCCCAUUAACCGAUUCGGACCAGAAGAUUCCCCGGAUUUGCAAUCUUUGAUGCGUGCGGGUGAAAAUUGGUUUUAGCCGAGAAAUGCUUCCCGCGGUAAGGAAAAUAUCCGAGAAACGUGUACUGUGGUAAGCUUUUUAGCCGAUAAAAAUUAUCCGUCUCGGCAUAAAACUUCAUCCGAUAGAAUUUUCACCCGGUAAUGCUUUUUAGAAGAUAAAGACCACCCGAUGGCAUUUUUAGCCGAUAUUCUGAUCCAGCCAGUACGAGUUUUCGCCGAGAAAUUCCUCCAAACGGUUUUCACCAUUUUUUAAACCUCUUCUUCACCAUUUCAACUCCUGAUCACACCUCUUGAGCUCCAAAUACCCUCCAAAGCACCUGAUAAAGACUCCAAACCAUGCAAAACUCUUUGGGACCUAAUGCAAACCCUAGAGCCUAAUUUGAUGCCUAAAGACCUAAAAUGAAUGAGAAAACACAUGAUUCAGACUCUAAAAUGCAGCUUAAAUGAUGCAAAAUAUAGACAUAUCAACUCCCCCACACUUUUCCUUUGCUUGUCCUGAAGCAAAAAGAGCAAAUGAGAGAAAGAGGUUGGAUGCAACGGGAGUUCAUAUUCCUUAUGGGAGAGAAGUGAUCAUAAUGAGAAUUCAAGUUCAUGCUCAAUUAUGCAAUGCAAAGCCAUACUCAGAUCAACUCAACAAGGAAUCUCCACAAGUUCUUCUCUCUCUCAACUCUUUCACAUUCAUUAAGCUUUUAUCAGUCGAAUCGAAUGAUGCAAUGUUUAAAUAAGCUGGCUUGGCUAGGGUGAGGCUAUGAGAUUAAAAUGAUCUCAUCAGUGUUCAAGCGUGUUUAAUGCAGCAAAGGGAUCUCUCUAUGAAUGAUCAAACUUUGGCAGAAUGCUAAAGGUAAAAAGCAAAGACUCAUCUCACCCCACACUCAAUUCAAAGUUUCCUCACUUGCUCACACUCUCAAGAACCUCUCUUUUUACUCUCGUUCCCUAAACUAGGUGACUCAUUUUGUGACAUCCCAAAAUUAUGAGCCCAAAAUCUAUCAAGCCCAAAAGAAGAGAAAUAAAGCAUUGUGACAUCCCAAAAUUAUGAGCCCAAAAUCCAGCAAGCCCAAAAUAAGAGAAAUAAAGCCCUAAAUGUAAAUAAGGGCAUUUUUAUCAUUUUUCCUCCACCCUAGACCUAGGAGCUCGACCCCCACCCUAUAUAAAGGGUCAGCCACAUUCAUUUGAGAGACACAAAGAGUUAACGCAGUGAAACUCUCUAAAAACCUCUGCAACCCAGUUUAAUAUUGUGUCCGAGUGGAUAUAGAAAAUAUAGCGGAAGCAAUAAUUGACUACAAAAGAGGCGACACACAAGGCGAUCUAGGGUUUUGUGGAUUCCAGCCCAAGAAAGGGCUCAGGCGUCAUGGCGGCGCCGGACCAGUCGGUUCCGCUUCUGGAGGAAGGAGUGCAGUCGGGAGGGGAGGUUAGGAGUGUAUCGGAGGAGGCUCGGAGUGUUUCAGAGGAGCUGGGUAAGUCGAAGAAGGUUCAAACCGAUGGAGAAGUGCAAGAGAAAGGUUUGGAGGCAGUGGGAGAUGAAAGUGAUCAAAGCAAAGAAGCAAAAGUCGAGACGGUGGUGAAUGAUACAGCGAAGGCAGGGAGGUCAUACUCUUCAGUUGUUGCUGAGAAAGAUCGCUUGCAGCGAUACGAGUUUGAGGUCGAGGAGAUUGAAGGGGUGAAAACUAUCAGGGUCCCGGAUUGUGUGUUUGAGAAAGCACCUCCGCUUUGGGAUGACUGUAUUGUGGGGAAGUUUGUGUCAAAGGCACCGCAUGUGGGUUUGAUUCAUAUGACGGUAAACAAGAUUUGGCCGUUGGGGGAUUCAUCGGUCAAAGUAGAAGUGUUUGUUGUUGAUGAAACAACGGUGAAAUUUAAGAUUCCGGACGCUGCUAUCACGAAAAGAGUUUUGAGGCGAGGCAUGUGGAGUAUUAAAAAUAUUCCGAUGAUUGUUUCUAAGUGGAGUCCAAUUGUAGAGGAGGCACAGCCGGAGAUCACGGUGCUUCCGAUGUGAGUUGUUUUGCAAAAUGUCCCGCAAAGUAUGUUUACUUGGAAGGGAUUGAGCUUCCUCACAAGCCCUCUGGGUGAGCCGAAGAAACUCCAUCCGGAUACUCUCUGGGCCAAAGAUUUUGAGGAAGCCAGAGUUUUUGUGGAGGUAAACUUGAAACAGGCAUUGCCAGAGUGCUUUUCUUUCAAGUCAAGUACGGGGCUUGACACAAUUGUUCAUUAUGAGUUUCCUUGGUUGCCACCAAGAUGUGUCUCAUGUGGGAAAUGGGGUCAUGCUAUAUCGGAGUGUAAGGCGAAGCCUGGAGAUAAAGUGAUUUUGCAAAGAGAGAAGUCUAUUCUUUCUCCAGUGAAUUCAGGGCAAGCAAAAAACAGAGAGGUGAGGGAGAAUGUGGGUUCCUCGAGUCAGAGUACCCCGAAGAAGGAUUUAUCGAUACAGUCGGAGGAGAAAGCUGAGGAAAUGCCGCAAGCUAGUAAAGCGGGGGUCGAGGAGAUGGGAAGUCGCUCGCACUCUCCGGAAGUUUGGCAAGUGGUUAAAUCCCCGGUUAGAUCUAAAAAGACGGAGGUAAAUGCAGUUGAGGAAGGAGAGGAAAUUCAGAGCUCUGGCUCUCGCUAUGCUUCCAUCGCAGAUCAGGAGACUGAUGUUGAGGAAGGAGAUGUUGAGGAGGUAGAGGUUCACGUUCAUAACAAAAAUCUACCAGCAGAGGUAGAGUCUAAACAGGGUAAAGGAGAAGAGAAGCCAAAGCAGAGUGUGGGUAGCAGAGCUCCUUUACCUCGGGAAUCAAAAUCUUUACACCGUUAUGUUAGUACUGUUCCUAGCUCCUCUCCAUCAUCGAGUUCGAGCAAGAACAAGAAAAACAAAAACAAGUCUCGUCGAAACAAACACUAAUGUCUGGGUUUUUCUGGAACAUUAGAGGAUUUAACAAAAAACGGAAACAGGAAGUGGUGAGGAAGUGGUGUAGGGAACAUGAUUUUUUGUUUGGUGCAAUUCUUGAGACUCGGAUGCAGGAAAGUAAGGCGGCGGAGGUAGUUUCAGCAGUAUUUCCAGGGUGGUCAUUCUUACAUAACUAUGAUCAUCAUCGGCUAGGACGGAUUUGGGUUGUUUGGAGUGACAUGGUUCGUAUUACUCCAGUUUUUAAAAGUAGUCAGUUAGUAUCAGUGUUGGUGAAACAGCAUGGAAUUGAUGAGGAGUUCUUGUGCUCUUUCGUGUAUGGUUCUAAUUUUUCCGAAGAUAGGAAAGAAUUAUGGGCUGAUCUUCGAAGUCAUUUCACUUCUCCAAUUUACCGAAAUAUAAGUUGGUUAGUGAUGGGUGAUUUCAAUGAGACGUUGUCUACAGAGGAGCACUCGGGUGAGGAUUCGGUUUUGACGGGGGGAAUGCAGGAUUUUCAGGCGAUUGUUCGUGAUGGUGAGCUCCUGGAUAUGGGCUAUCAUGGGCCACUAUUCACUUGGACGAACAAAAGGAUGCAGGGGCAGGUUUGCAAAAAGCUUGAUCGCCUUUUGAUGAAUGAUCGUUGGCUCAGUAGUAGGCCGCAAUCGUAUUGCGUAUAUGAAGGGGGGGGGGGUUGUUCUGAUCAUCAGAGGUGCAGGUUUUAUGUUUCAAACGAGACUACUAGGCCCAGAAAGCCGUUCAAAUUCUCAAACGUAAUUGCUAAACUUCCUCAGUUUCACACAGCAAUGGGCGAGUAUUGGAAUGCGACUAUUCCCCUGUUUCAUUCUACCUCUGCGCUCUAUCGGUUCUCAAAGAUGUUGAAGAAUUUAAAACCUAUAGUACGACAGAUAUCAAGGGAUUCUCUUCAUGACAUAUCGAAGAGAGUAACGCAGGCAUAUGAUGAGCUUUGUGAGAAGCAGGAGCACAACUUGAUAUAUCCAUCGGAAGUAGCGCAGGCAGAGGAGAAUGAGGCUUAUACGAAAUGGGAAUGGGUGGCGAAUAUGGAGGAAAAUUAUCUUUCCCAAAAAGCAAAGUUAAACUGGCUGAACGUGGGGGACAGGAACAACAAGGUUUUCCAUCGAGCGGUUAAAGUAAGGGAGGUCAGGAAUGGGAUUAGAGAGUUGCAAACUCAGGCGGGUGAAACCCUUGUACGUAGUUGCGAUAUCAAACAGGCGGCAGUUGAUCAUUUUCAGACCUUUUUGAAUUACAAACCUCAAAACAUUCGUGCUACGUCUAGAGAAGAGAUGGGAGCUUUGUUGGAGUAUCGAUGUUCUCAGGAAGAUAGGACUCUUCUAACUGCAGAGGUUACAGGGGAGGAGAUUAGAAGGGUUUUGUUUGCUAUGGCGACGAAUAAAUCACCUGGGUUUACUGUGGAAUUUUUCAAGGAAUCCUGGUCGGUCUUGGGACAUGAUCUGGUGGUUAGCAUUCAAUCAUUUUUUCUUAAGGGAUUCCUGCCUAAAGGUAUUAAUUCAACUAUUCUUGCAUUAAUACCGAAAAAGGAGCAGGCAAAGACGAUGAAAGAUUACAGGCCCAUUGCGUGUUGUAAUGUGAUUUACAAGCUUAUAUCCAAGAUCUUGGCGAAUAGGUUGAAGAAAAUACUCCCCAAGGUUAUUUCCCCAAACCAGUCUGCCUUUGUUGAGGAUAGGCUCUUGAUCGAAAACCUGCUUCUUGCUUCGGAAUUGGUGGAGGGGUACCACAAACCAAAUAUUUCGUCUAGAUGCGCCCUCAAAAUAGAUAUCUCUAAAGCUUUUGAUUCUGUGGAUUGGGAGUUCUUGCUAACGGUGUUGGAAUCUUUAAACUUGCCCAUGGAGUUUGUUCACUGGAUACGGUUAUGCGUAACUACUCCUUCUUUCUCGGUUCAGUUAAAUGGAGAACUGGCGGGUUAUUUUGGAAGCUCAAGGGGUUUGCGUCAAGGCUGUUCGCUCUCUCCGUAUUUAUUUAUAAUUUGCAUGAAUGUCCUCUCUCAAAUGCUGGACAAAGCUGUGAUGCAGGGGAAGUUCGGAUUCCAUCCAACUUGCAGGAAUAUGAAGCUUACACAUCUUUGUUUUGCAGACGACUUGAUGAUUUUUUCAGACGGUACACUGCAAUCAAUGGAGGGGAUAAUUGGGAUUUUCGAUGAAUUCUCCAAGUUGUCUGGGCUGCAAAUAAGUUUGGAAAAAUCCACGGCCUAUCUUGCAGGUGUUCCUGAGUCCACUCGCGCAACGAUAGUUCAGCAGUUUCCGUUUGAACUCGGCUCACUUCCGGUUCGGUAUUUAGGACUGCCUUUGCUCACCAAGCAAAUGCGAUCAUUGGAUUACUCAACUCUUACCGACAAAAUUCGUGAAAAAGUAAGCUCCUGGACGGCGAGAACUCUUACUUUUGCGGGUCGUCUUCAACUUCUCUCAUCGGUCAUUACCAGUUUAGUCAACUUUUGGAUGGCGGCUUUUCGUCUGCCGAGGGGUUGUAUCGAUACAAUAGAGAGUAUUUGUUCCUCUUUUUUAUGGUCUGGACCAGACCUUAACACAAGAAAGGCAAAGGUGGAAUGGAGUAAGGUGUGCCGCCCCAAGGUCGAAGGAGGGUUGGGGCUUAAAAGUUUGAGAGAAGCAAACGAUGUCUGUGUGCUGAAGCUCUUAUGGCGUGUUUUAACUGCAAAGAACUCGCUUUGGGUUCGGUGGCUCCAUACGGUACGUAUGAGAGGAAACUCAAUUUGGUUGCCCUCGCAUCAGUCUCAAGGGUCGUGGGUGUGGAGGCAGCUGUUACAGUAUCGGAAUCUGGCAGGGCAAUUCCUUAAAGUGGAAGUGAAGAAUGGCCGUUCAACACUAUUCUGGCUUGAGAAUUGGUCUCCGAUUGGCUCGCUUUUGCCGGCUAUAGGGGCAAGGGGUUGCUUAGAGUUGGGUAUCAAUAUUGAGAUGACGGUGGAGGAUGUUAUUUUGCGGCAUAGGCGACGAAGGCAUAGACGUGAGAUACUAAAUAGAGUGGAGGAUGAAAUUGACGCUAUUAAAGCUCGAUAUGUACGGGACGAAGCAGAUGUGGUUCUGUGGAAAUGGAAAUCGGACUCUUUCAAAACUACUUUCAGUACAAAGGCCACUUAUGAUCAGUUGAGGAUGACUUAUGAUCGAGUUCCUUGGUCAUCUGGAAUCUGGUUUAAGUAUCAUUCUCCUAAGUUCAGCUUUAUUGUUUGGUUGGCUCUGCAGAAUCGGUUGGCAUUGGCGAUAGAAUGUUAGCUUGGAACCAGAAUAUCUCCGCAACUUGUGGAUUUUGUGGUGUGACGUCAGAGACUAGGAACCACUUGUUUUUUACUUGCCCGUACUCUGCAAAGGUAUGGAAGCAGCUAGCUGGGGGUGUUCUUCUUCAGGAUUUCACGGUGGAAUGGGAUGAGAUGGUCUUCCUGAUAUUGCGAUCUUCUAUGAACAGAAUCCAGGGAUUUAUGAUCAGAUAUCUGUUUCAGCUUACAGUUUACACUCUCUGGAGAGAAAGGAAUGCUCGGAGGCAUGGAACGCCACCAUUUGUGGAGUCGCGACUGAUUAAAUGGAUUGACAAGGGAGUCAGAAAUCGAUUUAGCUCGAUAAGGUUGAUUGGGGAUCAUCGAUAUGAGGAUGGCCUUCAAGCUUGGUUCGCAUCGAGGCAAGCGUAACAAGAAGGAAGACGAAUGUUUCAAUUGUUCUUUUGGAUUUUUAUUUUUUAAAUUAAAGCUCGCAUCAUUGAUGUAGAAAACGCUAUUUUUUUUUGGUGUGAAUAAAAUUUAACAUUCAUUCAAAAAAAAUAAAAAUAAAAAAAUAUUGUGUCCGAGUGAGGGUUUUGCUGUGUCUUUUGCCAAAAACUCAGAUCGAGCUAGGAGCCGAUCUUUAUACCUCUGGAAAUAUCUUGCUGCAAGGAAUCAAUAGCAGUUUACAGAUCGAAAUUUCGAGGUAAGCUCCGUUUUUUUACGUGAGCUGAAAGUUGGCGAAAAAUCAUUUGUUUCAGCAAAUCUGAUUUUUCCAGUUUCGCAGUGCCUCGAGAGAGGAUUUGCCGUCGAUCCAGAAGGACUCAGAUAGCGAUCCAUAUACCAGCGAGCAAGGAGUUAUGAAGGAUUUGGUGCGAGCGGUUUUCAUUCAUAUCGAGAUGAAGUAUCGACCAAAACUUGGUUUGUAUUACCUUGAACCCUGGAACGAAGAAAUGUCCCUUGAAGCUGCUCUUCACACCACACUGAGGUGCUACACCGAGAGGAACCUGGUCAGUAUUGUGUUUUAAGAGUUUCUUCGCACCAAUCCAAGGUCCUGCACCGAGCACUUAGAACUCGAUAUGACCCUUGGUCCAACACGUUUUUAUGGGCCGUUUUGGGCCAAUACCCAGUUUGUUCUGGGUUGGCCCAUCAAGGAAACCCUACCUAUAUAUAUGCUUUAGGAAAUAUAUGUUGGACCUAACCUUUAUGCUCUCUUUUCCUUUUGCCUCUUUUGUGAAAAACUCAUCCUUGUAAGAGAUAUCUUCCAUUUUGGGUUUAAAUCCUUGUAAAAGAUAUCUUCUUAUCAUCAUUAUAUAUCCAUCAUCUAUCUAUUCUCAUCAACUAAUCAUGAUUAAGAUCAACUCUUGCAAAGGAACUGGUUUGUUCAUCAUGAUUAGUAAGUAGUCACUUCAUUAGAGUUCUAGAUAUGUAGGUUAGGGUGCUUAGGGGUUUGAUUAAGUUAGCAUAGGACUAGAUUUAUGCAUCUUUGUCUUGUUUAGCUGAUCCUAAUGCUGGGUUUUAGAUGAUCUCUCUAUCCACAAGGUAUUGAUAAAAUGCAUGAACACGCUAAAUCAAGAGUCUAAUGUUUGAUUCAGAUGGGAAUGUUGUUUUGAGAAUAGUUGGUAUAUCAGGAUUGGUUUCUAAUGCAUUUCUUACAUUGUGUCUUUAAUGAUGAUUAGGUAUGAGAAAUGUUUGAGAUUGUGUUUUGAUGCUCGAGAAAGAUUGAAACUUGUAUUAAAUCCUAAGCUGCUUAGAUCAUUCAUCAUCAUUGUCAUUAGCUUCUUAGUUAGAUCCUGAAAGAACCCUAGCCAACUAUCAUAGCUGGAGCUCUAUACUAUAUCAUAUUACAUUCAUCAUCAUCAUUCAGAUGUUGCUUUGUUUUGUCUACAUUUUAAUCUUGUUUUAGUCUAGUUUAGCUUUCAUUUGUUACUUGUUACACAACAACCUUCUUUGAUCUGCUUGGAUUAAGAUAAAACCUGAUAGAUUACUGAUCUGAACCACAUUGUUGGAUUCACACCCUUUAUGCUAGAACAGCUAAGGGAUUGGUAACCGAAAGAGCCUAUAAAACUCUUGUAUAUCAAUGGUAUAUUAUGAUUGAUGUUAACUAUCAUGUCUAGAGCUCUAAGUCUCAUCAUAUUCAUAUCAUCUUGAUCAUUUUCUAUCUUGUUUAUUGCUUAUGUAAGUCUUAAUCAUUGUUAAUCUUGUUUGAAAUCUGUUUAUUGUCUCUGGUUACCACACUUAUCUUGUUUUGGCUUGGAUUAAGUUUUGAAUUCUGAUGAAGUAGUGUCUAUCUUCACACUCAUGGAUUGAAUACCUUUUAUGCUGCAACUGCUUAAAGGGAUUGAUACCCUAAGAGUCUAAAAACUCUUGUUUAUCAAUUUGUCCGAAUGGGUUUUCUAGAGAUAGGUUUUUAAUGAGGCAAGGUUGGAUCACUAUUUCCUCAAAGUCCACUAAGCCAAGCCCAACACCACUUUCGACCAAAGGAGAAUAAAGUUCAAAAGUUCAAAUUCAAACUUAGUCAAAUAAGAGCUUCUGUUUUCCAAGAAUUCUUUAUUGUUUGGUCGACUAUCUAUUCUUUAUAUUCUCAUGUAAUCUCAUUUUUUAGAACUCAUCUUUCUUUUUAUCAAAUAACCUUUCUAAGUAAAGAUCAUUUUUUCUCUGAACAUCUUAGUUUGUGAGUGUGUCAUAUCUCUAAAACACCCGAUUCUUAGGUGUGUAGUAUCCUCAGAAUCAAACAGGUAAAUUAAAGGUCUUCUACAGCCUUUGUGCGACCCAUCGAUCCACUUCCUUGUCUUUGAAUCCUUGGUGUUUCAUCGUACAAGCAUAUCCAAUUCCAGUCUCUAGAGUGCCGAUUGAGGGAGGAUAUUAUUAUUGAGUAGUUGGGUUUUAAGGGUCAAUUAAAGGGAUCAAUAUGUUCGAUAGGGAUUACUAGCUUUUCUCAACCAUAUUCUAGAUCUCAUCUCUUAUGAGUUGAACAUAAUGCAUGAGGUUAGAAUCAUGAACUGAUCUCUGAGCCUAAGAUUGAUCAGAGACACGAGAGUGAUACAAAGCUUUAGAAGACCAUAGUCGCUAUAGGAGACGAAAGCUACCUAUAGAGAAAAUGUGAGCAAGAAUGAAUUCAGUUCAGUUAAUACAUGAUGUUACUCGCGGCAAGAGACGAAUGCUACUUUUCGAGUUUAAGUGAUUAGUUGGUUAAGGUGACAAGAUUUGGUUAGCUAUAUUAGUGUGUAUUCUAGUUCCUUGCAGAUACUAGGAAUAGAUUAAGAAAUACUACCUAUAAGCUAAUUGGAAGAUACUUAGAUAUCGAUUAGGACAACUAGGAAGGGUCUGCGUCGACCCCCUAUGAGUUUAGAACCCUAGUUUGAAUCGAGCAUCCUUUAGGUUUCCUUAGCAGCCCAACCUUUCUUGCAUUUUACGCCCAUAUCGAUUAAGUUUAGGAUUUUCCUUUGUUUUAUUAUAUCUUUUCUUUUCCCAUAAAACCAAAACUUACAAAAAAACCCCUGAGUUUAUUAAUUCGCUUACUUAUCCCAGUUUGAAGUUUUUUCAGAUUAGACAGCCUCUCUAUGGAUCGACACCCUAAGUACUUCAUCGCACGACUGUGCACUUGCAGGAUCCUAUGGUUUUAUAAAUUUAAAACCUAAUCUGCAACCCCGUAACCCUAGCAGCCUCAAACCCAUAAAACCCAUAAAUUUAAAUUUAUGGAUUUAUAAAUUUAAAACCUAAAACCCAUAAAUUUAAAAUCGUGGGUUUUAGGUGAAGAUUGUAAAAUGCAUCUGACUCCGUCUAUGGGUAUUCACAUGAACAAGCUUUAUCCUAAAAGAAACAAAUGAAAACCGCAAGUGCAGAGCUAAUUAAUUGUAGUACUUAGAGAUCGAAUCCACAUGCAUUUGUGUGCCGAAUACUUUUCUACGGUUUCUAAGUUUAUGUCUAGACUAAAUCAGGUUUUAAGAGGUUGGUGUGUGUCACAGUUUUAACUAAAACGAAAGAAAGCAAAUUAAUCUAUCCUAAAAAGCAAGUAGAAUAUCGAAUGAAAGCAAGCAAAAAUGAAGAUUUAAGUAAGCAGGUAAAUAAUCGAUGGAGUUGUGAACAAUAACUAAAAAUGUUGGGCUUUCGAGAACUCUAUGAGGAUCAUAAUUGGUUUUAAUAACUAGGGCUAUAGAUUGGGAUUAUUGGAUAUUGAUAUAUCUAGGGUUCUUGAGCUAGAGUACGGCGGUAUGACUACAUCACUGUCAUGAUCAUAACCUACUGUCUCUUGCAACCUUGACCAGUAGGUUUCCACUCUGGCCAUGGAAGGGAGAAAACGCAGGAACUUGUAUAGGACUCAUCAAUACUCACGACUUACCCAUAGGUAGGUUUCCACUCGUAUGGCAGAAUUGCCCGUUUCAUUCUAGGUCGGAUACUUAAUGAAAAGUUUUGUAACAAUAAUUAUCUAGAUCAGACGGGAGAUGAUCAAUCAAGCAUACAUACAUUAAGAACAAGAAUAAACAAAGAACAUAAAAUAAAAUCUGAGAUCUAAAAACCUAGAUGUCUCAUUCGAUAAUGAGAGCCCCUUUCGGGAACCCUAUGCCCAACUCGGGAUCUACUCAGACAUAGCUGAGGUUAACAUCAUCUUUGGUUUUAAUUUAAGCAAUUAAAAACAGUAAAAAAAAGGAUGAAAGAAAGCUUCUCUAAGGUUGAGAAAACUUCUUUACAAAUCGCUAAAACGGCUAAGAAAGGUUGUCUCUAUAAAAACUAUGGAAGAUAUAUCUAAAAAGGGCCUAAAUGACAAUAUUUAUAGUCUUCAAUACUCCAGGGCGUCUAGGGUUUCAGAAUUAAAGCUGAGAAAUAACUUGGGCUUCAGAAAUGGGCUUCUUAACUCUGGUGAAUGGGUGGUUGGCCGCAGUCGCAUAGCCCUGACCGUGGUAAAUGGCUUGUUGGUCGUGGUCCUGUAACUUGCUGGCAGUCUUCAAAUGUCUCUGGGGCAAAUGGAAUAUCUUGAGAUCUAACCGGUGGAAUGUCUCCAAACCAAGUGCAUUUGAAAGCUGGUUGAGUUUUGGUGUCCAAUUUUGGGGAUGAUCAGAUGGUGAGAAGGUCUUCGCCUCUCCUUGAGAGUUCUGACGAUCUGAAUUUAACCAAAAGAGUCUUUUUGUUCCAAUUUGCACCUCUUUCUCCCAAAUUACCUGAAAAAGUCUUUUGAAAUCCGAAAACAUAGAAAUUUUUUCAAAACCUUUGAAAAUGGAGUAAAAACACGUGCAAAAGAUAUUAAAGUAAUCGAUAGAAAUGGUCAAAAUCUGGUGUUAUCAGUAAUCUGACUCUAAAAAAAAAUUUUCUUUAACUUUUUGUUUUUGUUUUUCUUUGUUUGGGGUCUUAAAGCUAUGAACCCGCCUCUUGAGCGAGAUUUCUACGACGAGGAAAGUUUCUACAACACUCCUCAAGCUUACCCAAUCCAAGAAUCACAACCCUGCUGUGAUCUCCACUACAUGUAUCAGAACUCUUUCCAGAGCCAGCAGCAGCAUGGAUGCCGCAGGCCUCCAUACUUCGAAGACAAGCCUUUUUCGUCUCCUAUGGUCCACUCUAGACCAUACACUCACACAUCUCCCUAAGCAAAUCCCGAGCCACAAAAGGAAAACUUGAAGAUUGGUAGACAAUUGGGGCAGCCUUGAGAUUAUUAUCAAUCAAUAUCUUGAUCAACAAAUAGUCACCGAGACCGCUAACUUAAGAGGAUCGAUUCUUAUUCUAUAGAAUUCACCAAAACAGACUUCCUUACCUAAUCUCUUUCAAAAGCUUUUUCAAAAGAAGACGUGUGUCCGUGUGGAUCGAUAUCCUAAGUAAUACUAUGUAGUGUUCUGCACUUACAGAAGUAUGGGAUUUUAUAAACUUAAAACGAGAAGUUCUGCACCAAAUUAGACCCCCAGCAAUACACACAUCAGUGCACGAGCAUGAUAAGGUAAAUAGCUCCAUAUCAAAAAAAUUCGAGGUGGUGACAUAUGAGAGCGGAGCCAGAAUCGUAAAGGAGAAUUGAUUUCUCGACACCAGCCGAAACAUUCAGAAACGGGUCAAGUAUCCCAAGAGCAAUGCCACCGCCAGACUCCUUUCAUGAAGUAACACAUGCAGGAGUGAUGCGUGUCAACUGCGUGAGGGAACAAGUUUUACCCUUAACAAAAACAAAUGAAAGCCGCAAGUGCACAGCUAAUCAGUUGUAGUAUUUAGGGAUUGAAUCCACAGAGAUUUGUGUGCCUGGUAUUCUUCUACGGUUUUUAACUUUAUGUCUAGACUAGAUUGGUUUUAAAGGUUGGUUGUUUAUCACGAAUAAAACUAAAACUUAAAGAAAGCAAAUAAACCUAUCCUAGAAAGCAAGUAGAAAAAUUGAAUGGAAAGCAAGUAAAGCAAGUAAAAUAUCGAACUAAGCCAAUUGAAAUGCAGAUCUAAAUAAGCAAGUAAAAAUCGAUUGGUUUGUAAACUAUGGCUAAAACCGCUGAGCUUUUGGGAACUCUACAUGGAUCAUAAUCGGUUUUAACACUAGGGUAGAUAGAUUGGGAUUGACGGAUAUCGAUAUAUAGGGUUCUAGAGCUAGAGUACGGCAGUAUGACUACGUCACUGUCUUGAUCAUAACCAACUGUUUCUCGCAGCCCUGACCAGUAGGUUUCCACUCUGGCCCUGGAAGGGAGAGAACGCAAGAGCUGCACAAGGCUCGUCAAUACUCACGAUCUCGCUGCAGGUAGGUUUCCGCUCCUACGGAAAAAUCGCCUGUUUCAUUCUAGGGCUGAUACUUAAUGAAAACUUUCGCAACACUAACUAUCUAGAUCAGAUACUAGGUGAUCAAUCAAGCAUACAUGCAUUAAGAACAAGAAUAAACAGAGAACAAAGUUGAAAUCCCAGAUCUAUAACCUAGAUGUCUUAAUCGAUUAUGAGAGCCCCUUUCAGGAACCCUAAGCCCAACUCGGGAUCUACUCAGACAUGGCUGAGGUCGACAUCAUCAUUGGUUUUAAUAAAAGUAAUCAAAAACAGUAAAGAAAAUAGAUGAAGAAAGCUUCUCUAUUGAAGAACUAAGACUUGAACAAUCUUCUUCAAAAAUCGCAUAAAAACGGCUAAAGGAAAAAGGGUUUCUGUAAAGUAUGAAGGGUGGUGUCUAAAAACGACCUAAAUGACAAGUAUUUAUAGUCUUCAAUACUCCAUGGUCUCUAGGGUUCCGGAAUUGAGGCUGAGAAUGACUUUGGGCUUCAGAAAUAUGGGCUUUAGUUCGGAGUUAGCCGGCCGCGGUCGGGAGUGACGUGACCACGGGGAAUAGGUGGUUGGCCGCAGUCGGGAGGCUUGUGACCAUGGGGAAAUGGGCUGUUGGCCGCGGUCGCGUGACUUGCUGGCCGUCUUCGAGUGGCUCCGGGGCUAAUGAAAAUAUCUUGAAAUUCAAACUGUUGGAAUGUCNNNNNNNNNNNNNNNNNNNNNNNNNNNNNNNNNNNNNNNNNNNNNNNNNNNNNNNNNNNNNNNNNNNNNNNNNNNNNNNNNNNNNNNNNNNNNNNNNNNNACGGUGAGAAGGUCUUCGUCUCUCCAUGAGAGUUCUACGGUCUGCAUUUAUCCAAAAGAGUCUUUUUGUUCCAAUUUGUGCCUCUUUAUCCAAAUUACCUGAAAAGUCUAUUAAAAUCCGAAAACAUAGAAUUCCUUUGAAAACCUUUGAAAAUGGAGUAAAAACACCUGUAAAAGACAUUAAAGUGAUCCAUAAAAAUGGUCAAAAUCCGGUGUUAUCAAGGAUCUAGGCUUAACAUAGUCGAACCUCCCCAAUUGAUCAAUAGAACGAAGGGUGCAGGAGACGAACGAGGUGAGCAAUUUGGGACAGCUUGGGAGAACACCUCGGUAAGAUAAGCACGAUUGCUAUAGAUGGAAGAUUUGCGCUACCGGUGAUAAAAAUCGGCAUCAAAUAAUGAGAACUGGUCGCCUUGGCCUUGGAAGGAGUGACAGCAAAAGGAUACAAUGUCAGCUCGGUUCGAGCAAAGAAUCCGGAAGAAGAAGAAGAAGAAAAUGGUUACAGUAGGUUGAGUACGAGGACAAGCUGAGAAGGACGAGCCAGAAUCAGUAGGGUGAACUGCAUAGAAGAACAUCCCCCACUCAAAAAAGCUAGCUGAGCGAACUCCAAGCCUCCCUGGCUCAAAACGCGGCUGAGAUAAAAGUCUGUGAUCUGAAGUGCAUUAGACCAAAAGUGCCGCACCAGAGAUAGACUGCAUGUUGGAAUAAACGCAAAGAAUCUAUUUCACACCUUGGAUUACGGAGGCUAAAAUUCUAGUGAAACCUUGUUUAAGUGCCCUCCGGUUUACAAACCAGGCUAUCCCUAAGAUCCCAUUGCCUCUAGUGGAUUCAUUAUUUUGUCGGCUUUCUCAAAUUUGGAGUAUAUAUGUUUUUGGCAAAUACCGUAAUCAUCUAUAAAGAAUUUCUUAGCAAAUUUGGUACAUUUAAAAAGGUAAAAAUAAUAAAUCCUUUUAUAAUUGGGAUUCUUAUCAAAUCGUACAAGAGAAUUAUAAAGAUUGUAGAUUAAGGAAACUUCAUCGAACUCAACUCAACAUAUUAAUUAAAAUUUGGCUCCUCAAAAUUUGGUAACAAUUAUGAUUCUACCUUAGGUGAUGGGGUUUGGUAUGUUUCCUAACAAGGUUGGCAUUGUGUCCAAGAAGGUGGUAGAAUGCUUUGUAGAAGUAUAUCUUCUUUAUAUGUGAACUAGAGGCGCUUAUUUAGGCAACACACAGUAUGAUUGCACUACAGAAGACGAUGAUAAUUUUUGCAACUGUUCCGAACUGGUAAAUAUGGUGUAUGCCUCGGAGAAAUGACUUGCAUUCUCACUACAUCUUGAGGAGAUCCUGAAGAGGAAAAAAGUCUUCCAUGCGUAAAGAAUCAACGGCAUAUCUAGCACGGAAUGCUCAUGUAUCAUUUUGACAUUUUAUUUCUGUAUCAACAAUUUGAAUUUCUAAACCAUUCUACAUAUCUACUCUGUUGACAACAAAGAAGAGUAACCACAGAUAAAUAAUGUCGAUCUAGAUGAAAGGAAGUGUGUAACAUCCCGAUUUCCUUUACAUAUGGAAAGGCUUAUAAGAAUUGAUUUGGCUACCUAUGUCAACAAAGUGCACUUAUCUUUUCCGGUCAAGUGUGCUGAGAGAACUCCAGAGUUAAGCGUGCUGAUACUAGAGUAAUCUCAGGAUGGGUGACCUACCGGGAAGUACUUUGCGGUACCGUGCGAGUGAGGACAAAGCACGGGGAAAGAUCGUAUGGUGAUUGCAGGGACAGUAGACAAGUCUUACAAGCUUUCCGGAAUAACGACUCCCGACCGUCGGAAAGUGGUGGGCCCAUGUGCCUAGAGAAAGUGUUGGGCUCACUAGGAGGGACGACUAGGGGGAGUUAGGAUUGAUAUUACCGGUCCGCAUCUGGUUCCCAAAAGGAGGGCGGGAUCGGAGUGUCACAAGUGGUAUCAGAGUCGACACCCGACCAUGUGUGUGGAGUCAUGUGGACUCACACUGUCUAGGGUGAACGAUCCUGGUGCAAGCACUGUGUGAGUAGAGGUAGAAUUUGGGGACGAAUUCCUUGGAAGUCAGGGAGAAUUGUAACAUCCCGAUUUCCGGUAUAUAUGGAAAGACUUAUAAGAAUUGAUUUGGCUUCCAAUGUCAACAAAGUGCACUUAUGUUUUCUGGUCAAGUGUGCUGAGAGAACUCCAGAGUUAAGCGUGCUGAUGCUGGAGUAAUCUCAGGAUGGGUGACCUAUCGGGAAGUACUCUGUGGUACCGUGCGAGUAAGGACAAAGCACGGAAAAAGAUCAUGUGGUGAUUACAGGGAUAGUAGACAAGUCUUACAAGCUUUUCGGACUAACGACUCCCGACCGUCGGACAGUGGUGAGCCAACGGACCUAGAGAGGGCAUUAGGCUAACGGACCUAGAGAGAGGACGUUGGACCUACGUACCUAGAGAGGGUGUUGGGUUCACUGAGAAGGACGGUUGGGAGAAGUUAGGAUUGAUAUCGCAGGUCCGCGUCUGGUUUCCAAAGGGAGAGCGGGAUCGGGGUGUCACAAAGUGCAUCACAAAUACUACAAAAUAUCAGGAAAUCCGAAAAGUCUCCAUCUAUUUAGCUUCGACAUUACAUAUGGGCUAUUUUCUUUUCUUGUCAAUACUUAGGGGUUGGUUGAUAUCUCCAAUUGACAACCUCAAGAAAAAGAGGUACAUCUAUCCACAAGAAGAAAAGCAGUGGAUCAUAAUCCACGUAAGAUGUUGAGAGAGCAACGAGGGCCAGUGGAUGUGAAGAAUGAAUCUAAACCAUUAAAUAAAAACAUAGUAAUUCAUGUGGUUCGCAGCUGACAAGAAUCACAAUUAAUUAGUCAUCCAUCUGUCAUUUUUGGAAUUCACAACCUGCCAUACAAUGACCACUGGCUCUUAGUAAUAGUAUUAGGAUCAAUCCCGGUGAGAAUCACAUAUAUACAUUAGAUACUUAAUUUCAAUUUUUUUAACUUGGAAAAUAGUCUAGUUAUCAUAUGAAUUAAUUGUGAAAAUUUGUACUAUCUUGAAAGAAUAUGUUGUUUUUCAUUAAAUAACAUGCUACUUAAUUUAUUGGCAUGCUGUUUUUAAGAACUUAAACUCAACUUAAGUUUAUUAUUUUAAAAAACAAAAAUAUAUAGUUAUUUAGGUAACUUUGUAAAACGUCAUUUUUAUUCUGUUAAUUUAAUUUUUUGGUGUAUUGUUAAAUUAUUGUGGUACAGAAGUUAUUUAAGUGUGUGCUUGUAAAUCAAAUUGUCAAUUCGGACUAUUUUGUAAAAAAGCAAACUGGUACAGAAAAAAAAAAGGAGAGAUUGGUGAAGGGAGAAGACUUUUGAAGAAACUAAAGAAAAAUAAAAAAAGAUGGUCCACGGACACAUGUACAUUGUUUUAAUAACACAAAACAACAAAGUCACCUAAUACAAAAGAGCAUCCCAAAUUUCACAUGUCAGUCUUGCUGUCUUUCAUUUGUCUUCUUUACCUUCUUACAUUUUGGGUGUAACUAAAUGCUAUUCUUUUCGAAUUUGUUUCUGAAAAUUAAAAUUCAAGUAUCUGGUUGACUUUGGCGUUCACAGAACAGCUAAAAGCCUCUUCGUGGAUUGCUUGGCACAUAAGAACUUUAACCAGUUUACAAGCUCGAACGAAUACAGGUUCCCAAAUCUAGUUGUUCGCCUUAUGUCUGUGAAGACUGGUAUAUGCAGUCUUGGUGUCUGAAAGAGUGUUUUCCAUUGGUUCCGAUUAGGUAAUAUAAAGAUCAAGGAAAAAUGAGAGAGGUUAGCAAUUGAAAUCAAGAAAGUUUACCGAAUGUAUAUGUGUUAACAAAGGUCAAAAAAAUUAGUUUAAGAUCUACAUAUCUCUAUACAAUUAUUUAAGUAGGAAUUUUAAAAAAUAAUCUUAAAUAUGUAAGUUAUUACAUGAAAUGUCAUUAGACAUAACAAAAUAUAAUUGAAAAAAAAAGAAUAUAAUUAUCUUUUAAAAUUAUGUAAAAAAUUUUGGAAAAUAUCUAUUUAUAUCUCUCCAAAGAUGUCGACACCUUCACUCCUAUUCCCAUCUUCGCCGCUUCAUUAUUAUUAUAUAUUUGAAAAUAAUAAUAAUUUAUAUAUAUAUAUAUGUUGUAAAUCAGUUAUCUUAUUCCAGAGAUAACGAGGGUAUCUUAUAUUAUUAAUUAAGAAGAACAAUUAAAAAAACUUUUGUGUCAUGUGUAAUAUACAUUAGUGCCAUGUUGAAGUGUCAAGCUAGAAAGCUUUUAAGACAUGUUUUAAAAAUGGGUUUGAUUUACUAGACUUAUUACAACAUAUGUCAUUAACAUUAAUUUAAUUAGAGAUUAAUUUAUAUCAACCAUAUAUUUAAUACUCAAAAAUUUAAUUUAUAUAGAUAUUCUCUCUCUUUCUCUCUUAUCAACAUAUUUUAUAAAAAGUAAUACAUAAUAUUAUUUAUGUUACUAAACAUUAUAUUUUAUCUUAUCUUUCUUUGAUCUUAAUUUUGUUAAAAAAUCAUAUUAUCUUUUUAAUAAUAAAAAAUCUAAAUAUUAUCCUACAUAUUAUAAUUCAAAAUUUUUAUAACAAAGGUAAAGUAUCUUAAUAUGAUAUUGGAUCGGUUAAAUAGAAACGUAUUAAUCUGAUUUAAUAUAUUUAAUAUGCAAUUUCAUUCAUAUAAAAAUACUAUUAAGUUAAUUAUAAAACCAAUAAGUAUCUAGCAUUUAUGCAAUUAUAUAAAUAUAAUUAUAAUUAUUAUUUGCAAUUGUAUAAUCAGCGCAUCAAUAUUUUAAACCCGACCCAGACACCAAACUGGAGAAUCUUGUGGGUUAUCAGGUUUUGAGUCAGACCACGAGUCAUUAGAUUGAACCGCAAAUUACUUAAUUUAUUACUAUGAUCAUAACAUCCUGAAUUUUAUCUCAAAUCUGAACCAAAAAUAACAUUGGAUUUCGGUUUGACCGGUCGGACCAGUCGGGUCGAAUCAGGUUUAAAAACAUUGCAGUGCAUAUAUUUGUAAUUAUAAAUAUCACUUAACAUUUUGUAGUUGUAUUUAUAUAUAUAUUAUAUUUCCAUAUUUAAAUAAAAAAUUAUAAUUAAGAUUUAUCCCGCACAGGGUGCAGAUAAUCACUUAGUAUAUAUAGUAUUACAAAGACCCAGAUAUUACUCUAAGUUUCUGAUGUGGGACAAAUACAAUAUUAGUAAUGGGCCUUAUAAUGCACAUCCAUAUAUUAAUAUUCAUAACACUCUCCCUGAUAAUCAUUAUAACGAUAUUGUAGUAAAGCGCAUAAGAUGCUGCCUCAUUAAAAACCUGUGAGAAAAACCAUAGUUAAUGGAAAAAGAGUACAGCGCGCAUUUACUCCCCCUCAUGUGUACAUCCGUCUAAGUCCUUGAGACGUCAUAAUCCAAUAAGUUGAAUCAUCUUCUUGAAAAUAUCAGUUGGAAGCGCCUUGGUAAAUAAAUCCGCUAAAUUAUCGCUUGAGCGGAUCUGUAGAACACGAACAUCGCCAUUCUUCUGCAAGUCAUGUGUAAAGAAGAAUUUCGGUAGAAUGUGCUUUGUUCUAUCUCUUUUGAUGUAUCCUUCCUUAAGUUGAGCAAUGCAAGCAGCAUUGUCUUCAUACAUAAUUGUUGGAGCUUCUUUCCCUUAUGAUAAGCCGCAGGAGAGAUAAGGACCUGUUGAGGACCGCAAUUUUCAGUCACUUCUUCUUGCCAAAUGUUGUUGGAUAAUCCUUCCUCCUUUGUUGUAAACAGCUAUUCCUCCAGACUAAUAUUCUUUCCGGGAAUCAGAAAAUGAUCUCCAAAACACCAUGAAAUUGAACUCCAGUUGCCUUGGGACUUAAAAUUCGACAUCUCUAGACUCUCUAAGUCUUUUAUUUUCUUUCUUUUCUUAUUUUCGGAUUUUUUUUUGAUUUUUUUUGAUAAAGAAAAUGCCUCUUAAAGAGAGAGAGAGACUAGAGGACGAGAUUGUAACAAAAUUUGAGGCUUUUCUAAGGCAAACUGAGCUUCCUGUUGUGUUGAAUCCUUCCGGGAAUUUUUCCGGCAAAUCGCAGGUCUCUGUCUUUGGUGACUGAAAACUGCGUCGUUCCCCUUUCUCUCCAAUGUUUUUGCACUAAUCUGCAUAUAAGACAAUAGAAAACAAGAGUGCAUGUGGUUUGAAAGAGGAUUGGUUAAGGUGGGGAACUAGCCAAAGAUGAACUAGCCAUUCAGGAUCAACAGAGAGUGGUAAAAUGAUAAAGGAGUCCUGAAUGUAUGAUUCGUUUCCCUGGUCUAGUGCAUGAGAAAAUUAAGUCCAAAUAAAUUCCAAAUAAAACAGAGCUAGUGUAUUCCUUCAUCUAAAUCGAAAUCAUUCAAAUUCCUCUGGGUACUUCGUUUCAAAUGUGCUUGGCUACCGCCUAGUCUAGUCCUAAAUCAUGAAUGAGCAUGUCACUAGGAACAGUCUAAAAGGACACAGUCAACUAUCAUUGAUUCAUGUUCACCAUUUCCUUUUAAAACGUAUUUUGUUUUGAAAACCGGUUUUGAAAAACUUUAAGGAAAAUGCAAAAAGUGUAGAUAAUGCAAGACUCAUGAAAGAAAAGUGGUUAGAAAGGGAUGAAAUCCUCCCCCAGACUUAAAUCACACUGUCCUCGGUGUGAAACAAGUCGAGAUUGGAUGAGAAAAUGCAUAGAUAAUCGAAUUGGUAAGGCAAAAGAGAACUUACCUGGAUCCGGGAUGCUGGUGGAGAUGAACCGGAUUCAUUCGAAGAAGUUUGGUAAGGUGAUAGGUGGUGAUGAAGGUGGUGGGAAGUGAUGAAUGAGGUGGAGUGGGGAUUGGUGAGGUGGAAUGAGGUGAAGUGGGUGGUUUGGGGUCGGGUUUCGUCUCAACGACCAUUCACCGCGGUCAGAGGUCACGUGACCGCGGUGAAGUGGUGCUCGGCCGCGGUCGAAUAGGUGUUUCCCGCGGUUAGAACACCUGCAACCGAGGGAGCUUAUAUCGCGGCCUGUUCCUGCUUCUCCGUGGUUCCUGCUGGGCCGAGCAGUCAGGGACCAUCCUUCUUUUUGGUUUUUUCGGUUUUUUUUUAUUAUUUUUGUUGCCUUUUUUGUUUUAUAAGAAACACCUGAAACUAAGAAGAAGAAAAAGAUCAAAAGAAAAAGAAAGAAAGAUCCUAAAGAAAACAAUACCUAAAUGGGUUGCCUCCCAUUAACCGCUUCUGUUUUAAGUCGUUUAGCUCGACUUUUGGUGUUGGACGUGGCUUAGUCCAAUGAAGAAGACCUUGUCCUGAGACAAGUCUUUUUUUACAUCUCCUUGCUUUUCCUAGCAGGUUCUAUCACUCCAAAGCUCUUCUUCAAACUCUUCUAUUGCAGAAUGUUUUCCUGCUUUGCUAUUGUAUGGGACAGCUUCUGUGAAGACAUUUUUGUCGAUAUUAGCAAACGAAAUUCUCCGGUUUGGCCAGUCCAUUAUAUCUCCAAAAUUUGCUAGAAAAGACCAUCCGAGAAUAACUGGAUGUGUUGCGUCUCUCGUUUCAACAGGCACAAUGCAAUCUCCUAUUCUCAAAGGAAUUUCACGAGCUAUCCUUGUGGCGUUGCAUUGGAAUCAUCAGCUAGACUAAUUCUUGCUCUAGUCCUGCGCAGGUGUUUAAUACCAAGUCUCAAAGCCAUUGCCUUGGACAUCAUGUUAAGACAAGCUCCAUAAUCACAAAGCACGUUUUUAAACAUUUCUCCUCUAAUAGAACAAGCGAUGAGAAACUGACCUGUAGUCUUGACCUUAUGGAGAAUUCGAACUUUCCUUUCUCUGUAGGUAUUGGUGGGUGUUUCAAACACAGAAUAGGACUCACAAAAGAAGGCUGCAGCGUCGUAUUCAAUGAUUGAAUCGAUGUAUGGCAUCUUUAUCUUCCUGCACAUCGGGUCUUCUUGGAUUGAAGAGUCAGACGAAUCUUCAACACAUUCCUUUGCCAUCAUACAAGGUAAUGAUUCCUGCCAAUCCGUUUCUUCAUCUGAAACUUUGUUUUCUUCUUCCUGAGUUGCUUUUUUAGGUGCUGGAGGUUAGAGUUGGGACAGAAGAUGUAUUAUUUUCCUUUCAAAUCCCGGAGUGAAUCUGAACGACCAACUCCCGCGGUCAGAGGCGUCGCGACCGCGGGAAAAGGAGCCUUGGCCGCGGUGGGAACGGUCGGACCCGCGGCUCCGGAUAUGAUUUGCUCAUAGUCCGCUUCUUCCUUCUUGUACUUGAUAUGAACCUCUCCAGCUUUUUUAUUUGGUAGACCAGCACUAUAUGAACUCACACCAGGGUGUUGUUGUGCAUCUUCAUCAGGAUCUUUGGGAGAUUUCUUAGAAAAUCUCACAAUUUGCUCAAUGUUGGGCAUCUGUUCCAUUCUUGCAUCAAUCUCCCGUGCCUUGAGCUCGAGUUUGUUCAGCCUGUGCUCGAUCUCCUGCAGCUCUUCGUCUGUCUUCUCUCUAUACCAGGAGGCGGAUUCUCUGACUUCUUUGAUCUCUUGCUUCGAUUCGACAAUAUCACUUGAGUUCUGUAUGAUAUCAUAUCCUUGUCUUGUCUGCUCUGUUGCGACUUGGUGGAUCAUCCCAGCUAGUGUUUGUGCGUCCUUCUGGGUUUGUUCUUCCAGAACUCGAACAUGAUUGGCCAGAUCAUCGAAUUUUCUGUUGAACUCUUCAGAAAUUGAAUCAAUUCUCUUGAGCGGGUGUUUUCGGUGAGAAUCUGCUGAUCAAGGAAUUGGUUUAUCAUUCCUUCGAGGCGUCCCAAACGUCUGCUGAUCCUCAAGUUGUCCUCUUGCUAACUAGGGUUCUACGGUGGAGGAUUAUAAGCGUGUGGCUCGAAGUAGGUCGGAGGAGGACCAUAAGGAUCUUCCCGGCGUCGAACAGACUCUCUGCGCCGGUGGUAUGGAUGAUUUGGCUGGCUGUAUCGAUCCAUGUAGCUAAGAUCUCGGGCUUGGUGUUCUUCUCUGCGUCUGGUUGCUUGAGGAGUGUUGUAGAAACCUUCCUCAUAGUAGGGAUUUCGAUUUAUAGGAUCCAUAUCUUCUAAAAUGGAAACAAAAUAACCGGAAAAUGGAAAUAUACAGAAAAGGGGUUCUAGAGUCGAUUUACCAACCUUUCUUAGGGUUUUGCGGAAAAGAAAACACGUGCCUUUCCCGGCAACGGCGCCAAAAACUUGAUGUGUGUCGUGUGUGAGGGUGUCAAAUUUUACCCUAAAUGAAAUCAAUAGCCGCAAGUGCACAGCUGAUCGAUUGUAGAACUUAGGGAUCGAAUCCACAAGGAAGAAGGAUCUUUCCUGCAAAAGCCUUCGAAAGAAAUAUAAUGUAGGGAAGUCUAGAACCAGGCGAGUUUUGUGAGGGUUUUGGUGGUGUGUUUAGAACGUAAAAUCAAAUCUUAAAGAGAAAAUACGAGAAUUAAAAUGACCUAAUAACUAAACUUAACGAAAACGAGUAAAAACAAGAAAAACGGCUAAACCUAAUUGCUUUAAUAAAAAUCGAUUGAAAGAGUAAAUAAACUAGACUAAAGUUUGAAUGCAAAUCGGUGUAAAUCUAUAAGAAAGAAAGCGCUGGGAUUCAAGAAGUUUUCUCAGGGGUAUGAACGAUUCAAAACAUUGCUAGAAAGUAAAUUUGAUAAGAUCUUAGCUUAAACUUUUCGAACUGUGAUAACUAAGGUUUUCAAGGCCUUAAUAAGGGUUAUCAAUCCCUUAGCUGUUUCAGCAUAAAGGAUAUCAAUCCAUAAGUGUGGUUGCCAGACACUAGUUUAUGUGAUAAACUCUUAAGUCAAGUGAUCAAAGAUGAGUUUUGGUGUGAACAAAGUAACAAGAAAGCAUAAAACAAGGAACAAGAAAAGCAAUGAUUAAUGAACUAAACAAGGCAACAAAACAAGAUGAUGGUGCUUAAGCAAAUGAUGGAAGAUAAGCCUCUAGGUGUGAUCAUUGAUUAGGGUGCUUUCAUUGCAAACUAAUGAUGCUAAACAACAAUGCAACACUUGCUACUCUUUAGACUUGGCUUCUUAAUCAGAUUAAUCCACUCUCAUGACAGAAAUCUCUUUGCAAAUCACUUAAUCAAGUCUAACAACCAUUCGAGAUAACCAAGCAAUCAACAAGCAUAAUGUUCCAAGCCUAAUUAGUGACCAAACAAUCUUUGACAAAGAAAGACUGAAUCUUAUACAGAAAGACAUAGCAAGAAAUUACAUGAUCUCAAAACCAAUUAACUUAGAACUCUAAACUAGAUUAAUCCUCUCAUGAAGGCAUUAACCUCUACACUAAUCCAUUUUGAAACCAAAUUCUCAUUUGUGAAAUAUGAAUCAAUGAGCAUUAAGAAACAGUUCUAAUAUGUCAUUCAUGCAUUUAACAAACAUCAUCAUGGCAUUAAUGCAUAAACCCUUAGUUAGCUUUCAUUCAGGCAUUUCAUCAAACACUUUUGUUGCAUGAAAAACCCAAAUUCUAGACCCAAGUGAUGUGCAAGGAUAUAGCAUUAGGAUCAGCUAACUAAGGAAAAGAUAAGAGAAUCUAAGCUUAAACAAUCAUUAAUCUACAUCUAAGCACCCUAAUUUACACACCUAAAAGCUUAAAAGAGAGACUACUCACUAAUCAUGAUGAACACACCAUUUCCUUUGCAAGAGGUGAUGUUGAUCAUGAUUAGAAGUUAAGAUGAGAUGAUGCAAUGAUAAGAAAAAGCUUUUAUAUGAUUAAAUCUGCAAGAUGUCUCUUAAUCAAAAACGUUUUUACACUGAAAAGGAAAGAAAACAAGAGAGAAACUAAGAGAGAAGAUAACCUCUUGGGGUUUUCUCCCAAAAAACUAUUUAUACUAAGGGUCUUGGACCGGAUCAGCCCAGAACAAACUGGGUACUGACCCGGCUUCAGUUGGGUCUGGUGGCUGGUGUGCGAGAUGGUCACGUCCAUGGCUGACCCGCACACUCAUCUCACAACAAAAGAAGCUCAAGACUCCUAGAUGGUCAAGUCCUUUAUCAGCCGCACAUCCAUCUAGCACUUCAUCUUGCAUGUUCUUGUGCGGCUCAGUUCAGCUCCUUCCCCACUCGCAAGACCAGGUCGCACACUCCAGAAUGUAUAUGUGAAAGAUGUUCACUUCCUUGUCCAAGUCGCAUGCCCAAGUCGGUGUAAUUUGCGAACACAUGUGCUACAUGGUUCCACUUCAUGUCCAACUCGCAGGCCUAUCUCGCAGGCCUAUCAGCACAGCAUUGUGGACUUACUCAAAUUUGAUUCUGGAAGUCUCUACCUUGCUCAGAGUCUCCUUACACUCAUCUCUAAAGUCUCAACUUAAUUCCAGAGCGUUGAACAUUCAUGGGUGCGAGUUAAUCAAGUCGUGGUACCGUAUCGCACAACCUAAGCCUUCUCGGACCACUUUGCAUUCAGGGGAGAGUAACUUCCAGGAUAUUGAUCCAAAUGGCAUGAUUUCAACUGAAUUGGAAAGAAAACUCAAAUAUCUCGAACUUUGGUGAAGGAAACCUCAGUUCUUGGGAAGUGGAAGGUUCCGCGGAGGGCUCAUCUUUGCAGUACAUUGACACGGUUAGAAAGAGGCUUCUAGACAUGAGUCCAUUCCGGAAACGUUAUCUUCUUGAUCAUAGCUCUAAAUUGAAUGAUCUAAAACGUUAUGGAAAGAGGACUCAAAUAUCUGAAAUCUUCAUGACGGAUCGGUAGACUGAAUCGGUCUGGAAGCGCAUCUUCCUUCGCAAUAUUCGGAGCUCAUUGGGUCGGUCCUGAAACUGUCGCGAGACAGGUGUAUCUUCUGGUGAGCUUAACUCUCAUUUCACGACUCUAAAUCCAAUGAUUCGACCUGUUCUGGGACCGUGACUCGAUCUCCAACUUUUGUGAAGGGUUCGGGUUCAGGUGACGUCGGCAAGGGCUCCGUUCCACCGGUUCUUUGAUGCGUGUUGCUUUGGUCCUUUAUCCGCUCCGAGACAUGUACUGCUUCUUAUUGCCGUACCUUUCAGCUCAAAACUGCAAAUAGGACGAUCUAAAGUGUUCGGGAAACUAGACUCGAUGCUUUGGAUUCUUUACGAAGACUCCAAAGGCUGAAUCUUGAUGAAAGUCCUCCUUCUCAGGUGAUCAAGUUGAGGGAUCGUCGGCUCCAUAACACUUGUCCGAGUCUGAUGCACAUAAGGUGAUGGUUUGUCCAUGGCUUUUGUCCCAAUUGCUCCCAACUAGCUCCAAAUGACCUGUAAACACUCCAAAAGUGCAAAAAUCUCUAGGACCUAAUGCAAUUCCUAACUAAAGACAAAAGCAAAGACAAAUAUAUGUAAAACUACCUAAAUGUAUGCAUGAGACUCAAUAUUUAGACAAAAAUGCAGUCCUAAACAAGAACAAAUGAGAGAGAGAGGUUGAAUGAAUGGAAGUUCAUAUUUCCUUUGAGAGAAGUGACCACUAAGAGAAUUCAAGUUCAUGCUCAAUAUGCAAUGCAAAACCAUACUUUGGUGUAUCAACUCAACAGUAAUCUCCACAAGUUCUCCUAUUCCUCAACUCUUUAACAUUCAUUAAGCUUUUUACCAAGUGGAUCAAAUGAUGCAUUGUUUAAACAAACAAAGUUUGGCUAGGGUGAGGUUAUGAGACUAAAAUGAUCUCAUCAAUGCCUGAGUGGGUUCAAUGCAGCAAAAUGAUCUCUCUAUGAAUGACCAAACUUUGGCAGAAUGCUAAAGGUAAAAGGCAACCUAUGCAUACAAGGGCAAGGACUCAUCCCACCCCACACUCUACUCAAAGUUUCCUCACUUGCUUACUUUUCACACUCCUUCUUCUCUCACUAGGGGAUUCACUUUUCCUUUUCAUACACAAGUCUUGGAGUUCAAACUUUCCAUAGCUUUUUUCACUUUCUUUUGUAACCUCUAACCUCUUUUUCUUUCUUUUUAAAAUAUUUGAGCUCUUUGGCUUCUUUUCUUUUCUUUUCACUUAGAGGCUAGACUAUUUCUUUUCAAAACACUAGAGCUCACUUUCUUUGACUCAAAACUCCAAGACUGAUUUCUUUUCUUUUUUUAUCCCCUAGUUCUCACCAUUCUCCUUUUAUUUCCACUCAUCUCUCCUUUUUCCACUCACCAACAAGUAUUCCCCCACACUUAGUUCUUGCCAAAUCUCUCAGCUCCUUGAUGAUGGAACUUAGCACUCAAUGAGACUUGCCCUUGUCGCCCUAAACCUAACACUUUAUGCUAAGUUUGGUCCACGGUGGCCUCUCAAUCACACACAAACAAUUGGCUUGAAAGAAGGAUGGGUUCAGGGUGAGAAAAACUGAUCUAUUAUGCAGAUUCAGCUAUUUGAGCUAAGGAAGAGGAUGGUAAAAACAGGAUUUUAGCUCAAAUAUGUAUAUUGAUAUCCACAAGCUUAUUCAAACAAUGCACCAAAUGAUAAUUUCAAGUCAAGUUCAGGGUUUUCACUUAUUAGAGUUGAGUUCAAUUCAAACUUGCUUCUCAGAUUCAAAUCAUUUCAAGCCUUGCAAGCACAGAAAUCAUUUCACAAGCAUAUUUGGUCCAAAUUCUCUAAGUGAUGUACUCUUAAGAAAAAACUAUCAUUACUCCCAGCAAGAUGCAACCUAUAUGAUGCAAGCUAGACUCAAUCCUAAAAUGUGAAUGCAGCUACAUGAACAUUUUUUUUUUGUGUUAGAAUUUUCAAAUAUUUCAAUUUUUUUUUUUUUUAUAUGCACUAAAUGCUAUGCAUGAUCAAAUGAGACUCAAAAAUGCAAAAGAGAAAAUAAGAACAUAGAAAACAUGAUUAGUAAACACAAAGCCUCUCCCCCACACUUAAAUAACACAGUCCCUUGUGUUAUAAAAGCAUGAGAAAGGGGAAAAAUCAAACAUGAAUUGCAAAAGAAAAAGAAAAAUGCUAAAUGCUCAUUUACAAGUGUUUGGAGUGAUACCUGGUGUGGUUCUUAUGCAAAAGGGGAGUGAGUAUCUGCACCAGAUGAGGCCAUACAUCACUGGAGAUGGGUUUGGCUUGGCCUGAACUCCCUUGUGCGACAUGGACUUGUCUUGGACCAAGUCGCACACCCAAGUCGCACAUAAAGCUUGGUGAAUGCAGUUGUGCGACAUGGGCUGCUCUCCUUCAUAUCUCGUACACCCAAGUCGCACAUCAAGCUUCGUGAAAGUUCUGGCCUUCUUUGUUGCUGCUACAUGGCCCUAGAAGACACCAACCCGCACACCCACGUAGGUGUGAUUUGCGAACAGGUGUGCUACUUGGAUCAGGGGAGAACUGACUCGCACACCCAUGUAAGUGUGAUUUGCGAACAGGUGUGCUAGAUGGGACCUGACCUUGUCCAACUCGCACACCCAAGUAGCACACGUGGCGGCUCACCAGUUUUCAUUCCUUAAGUCCUUCAUCAGCUUGUUCUCAGACUCCUUUUCACUUUGUCAUUGGACCACAGCAUCCCUAAGUUACCUUAGACCUGAAAACACUUCACAAAACCCAUCAAAAUAUCCUAAAACAUGAAAAAGAAGAGAAAAAAUUUAAAAAAGUUAUGUACAAGGAUAAGCUUGGGGUGUCUCCCAAGAGCACUUUAUUUAAAGUCACUAAGUUUGACUUUGAAAAACCUGUCUUUAGCUGGGGUGAGGUUGAGCACUGAUGCUCUUCAGCAUUUCAAUGGUCCUGAGCAGGAAAGAUGAGGAUGGCUGCCUUUGAUAACCAUUAGACCCUUGUCCUUGAUGUCCCAUCUUUAGGCCUUUGUUCACCAGCUCCUGAAUACCAUCUGGUCCUUAUCAAGUAUUGCCUUUGUGAGACCUGCCCUUACCUUAGCAAACAGUCCUGCUUUCCCAUUGCAAUCCAGCUUAUACUUCAGAGAUCCAUUAUCGUCAGCCCAAGGAGUCAGAGUAAAAUCUUGAGAAGAAGGGUCAGGUUCAAUGCUCUUAUCUUUUGAUGCUGAGCCAUCACUCAUGGUGUUCAUCAUCUUUUGAUCAACAAGUGUAGGAGACCAUGAGAGCAAGAUGUCUUCUUCUCUGAUCAAUGGCCCUCCAUUCUCAUACUUGUAACCAUUGGGGUGAGGGUCUCUCUCCUUCUCCAAAGCUGAAAGAGAUUGAGAUCCACCUAGAAUUCCAGCAGUGCCCACAUACUUCAUCUCAAGUACCUUAGGGGGUUCUAUUUCUUGAACAACUGAUCCACAAAAUUCAGCCAAACGAGGUGUAACAAGGUAAAAGACAUCCUUAUCCACCUUUGAAAGCACCACUCUUUGAGUAUCAAAGUCAAUCAUUGCACCAGUGGUGUUGAGAAAUGAAGUUCCAAGCAAUAUGGGGAGCUCUUUGGUCUUCUUCAUCUUCAUGAUCACAAAAUAAGUGGGAAUUAUGCAUUCACCAACCUGUAGUGGAUAGUUUUCCCAAAACCCAUAUGGUUUCUUGGAGUAGGAAUCUCCAAAGGUGAUAGAAGAAGCAUAGGAUGUUAUAGACUUGACCUUUAGCUUCUCCAUCAUGUCCUUAGACAUUAUACUAACACUUGAGCCUGAAUCACACAAAGCAUUCUCGACCCUAUAUAAAGUUUCCAAGAGUGCAUUGAAUUUCCCUGGAUUGCCUAGCUUUGGGAGGGAGGUGGGUUUCAUCUGAGUUGAUUCAGAGGUGGAGGCACUAUCUGUUGGCUUUGCUUGACCAGUUGGCAGCUCCUUUGUUUCAAUAGACACUGAAUCAUUCCCUUGCUGAACAGAAAAAACUAAACCGGCUGCCCCCACACUUUCAUUCUUAAUGUCCUCAUUGAGUUCAUGUAAGAAGCCCAUGAAAUCCUCUAUAAUGGCAUUCUCAUCCACAUGAGUUUGUGCAGGUUCACUAGAGACUUAGACCAUAGAGAAGGUCUUCUAUUUCUUGCACAGCAGCUGAAUGGUCAUCAUUGCAGUAGAUGGCAUUGCAGUAAUCUUUUGAGUUUUGAAGAGCUUUACCAGGAAGAGAGACUUGUGGUUCAGAAGUGCAGAUGCCCUUGUUCUUUUUAAUAGCCGUUAUUUCAGCUCCUAGUGUCUCCAGGUCGGAUACCAUCUUUUGUUGUCCUAUUAAGAGCUGUUGGAGAACAACAUUGAAAUCAGGACUUUGUUGAACAGGUGGUGGGGCAAAACCAGGAGGUGGUGGCCUUUGUUUCUGGAAGCUGAGUUGGUUAUUGAAGCUGUUCCCUUGUGGCUUAGCUGUUGGCUGCUGAAAAGCUUGUUGACCUUGGAAGUUACCUUGGAACUGAUUCUUUUGAGCAAAGCUUUGUUGACCUUGUUGGGGAGGGUAUACUUGAUCUUGGGGAUUGGCUACAUUGGUGCUUCUAUAAGACAAGUUCUGGUUCUUGUUGAAGUUGUUGUAACCCUGAAACUUGUUCUGAUUACCUAUGUAGUUCAGCUCCUCUUUUGUAAGGCCCACUUCAUUGAUGUUCUCAAAGCAACUCCUCUCUUGAGACUCACCUACAUAGUGUAUAGGCUUUUGAGUGGCAACCAGGGCUUUGUCAAGCUUGAUAUGCAGCUCUUUGAUCUUCUCUUCCAACCUUUGUUGGGUACUAGAGUCCUCACAUCUGUUGGCUCUAUCAAAGUCUUCUCCAUAGGUGUCUUGGCUCAUGGCUAAGUUCUCAACAACUUCCAUGGCUGCAGUGAUUUCUUUUGCCAAGAAAUUCCCAUUUGAUGCUGUGUCCAACUGAUUCCGGAUCUUGGGAACAGCUCCUCUAUACAAAGUGCUAAGGAGAGAGGCUUCUGAAACCCCAUGAUGUGGACACUGAUUUGUAUAGCUUCUAAACCUGUCCCCAGCUUCUCCAAAGGUCUCAUUAGAAUGCUGUGUGAAGUUUGAAAUCUGGUUCCUUAGCUUGGCAGUCCUUGAGCUUGAGAAGAACUUAGAUAAAAAGGCAAGCUUGCAUUGCUCCCAAGUUUGGAUUGAUCCUCUUGGAAGGUUCUUCUCCCACUGGUGUGCCUUAUCCCCAAGGCUGAAUGGAAACAAUCUCAGUUUGAACCUGUCUUCAGAUACCCCAUUGAUCUUCGUGAGAUCACAAACUCUGUCAAACUGAUCUAGGUGCUCCAAGGGAUCCUCCAUAGGUAAGCCAUGGAACUUCUGAUUCUGCACCAUACUGAUCAAAGAAUCUUUGACUUCAAAGUUGUUGUUCUGCACAAGAGGUGGCCGGAUUCCUGCUCGGUCAUUCUCACCAACAAAGACUGGUGGUGGCUGAUGACGUUUGGGUGGGUUUGGGUGGGGCUGUGGUGGAUUAACCUGAGGUUGGUCUUGGUGCUGGGUACCCUGAGCUUGUCCCUGAUGGACCGGAGCUUGUUGAACCUGAAUUCCAAUCCCAUUACCAGCUCUUUGACCGUGAUCAGCUUCUUGAGCCUGAUGCUCAUUCCCAACUUGCUGAUCCAUUCCUAACCUUUCCAAGUGAACAACUCUUUCUCUUUGUCUUCUUGCUUGGCUUCUUGUGAUCAUAAACCUGAAAACAAAGACAGAACUUGAAAGGUGAUCAGUAAAACAAAAGAAACUUGAUCUCAAAAACUAUAUCAGAAACUAAUGCUAACAAUGCCCACACAAUAUGGCAACGGCGCCAAUUGAUAACUAAGGUUUUCAAGGCCUUAAUAAGGGUUAUCAAUCCCUUAGCUGUUGCAGCAUAAAGGGUAUAAAUCCAUAAGUGUGGUUGCCAGACACUAGUUUAUGUAAUAAUUUCUUAAGUCAAGUGAUCAAAGAUGAGUUUUGGUGUGAAAAAAGUAACAAGAAAGCAUAAAACAAGGAACAAGAAAAGCAAUGAUUAAUGAACUAAACAAGGCAACAAAACAAGAUGAUGGUGCUUAAGCAAAUGAUGGAAGAUAAGCCUCUAGGUGUGAUCAUUGAUUAGGGUGCUUUCAUUCCAAACUAAUGAUGCUAAACAACAAUGCAACACUUGCUACUCUUUAGUCUAGUCUUCUUAAUCAGAUUAAUCCACUCUCAUGACAGAAAUCUCUUUGAAAAUCACUUAAUCAAGUCUAACAACCAUUAGAGAUAACCAAGCAAUCAACAAGCAUAAUGUUCCAAGCCUAAUUAGUGACCAAACAAUCUUUGACAAAGAAAGACUGAAUCUUAUACAGAAAGACAUAGCAAGCAAUUACAUGAUCUCAAAACCAAUUAACUUAGAACUCUAAACUAGAUUAAUCCUCUCAUGAAGGCAUUAACCUCUACACUAAUCCAUUUUGAAACCAAAUUCUCAUUUGUGAAAUAUGAAUCAAUGAGCAUUAAGAAACAGUUCUAAUAUGUCAUUCAUGCAUUUAACAAACAUCAUCAUGGCAUUAAUGCAUAAACCCUUAGUUAGCUUUCAUUCAGGCAUUUCAUCAAACACUUUUGUUGCAUGAAAAACCCAAAUUCUAGACCCAAGUGAUGUGCAAGGAUCUAGCAUUAGGAUCAGCUAACUAAGGAAAGGAGAAGAGAAUCUAAGCUUAAAUAUUCAUUAAUCUACAUCUAAGCACCCUAAUCUACACACCUAGAAGCUUAAAAGAGAGACUACUCACUAAUCAUGAUGAACACACCAUUUCCUUUGCAAGAGGUGAUGUUGAUCAUGAUUAGAAGUUAAGAUGAGAUGAUGCAAUGAUAAGAAAAAGCUUUUAGAUGAUUAAAUCUGCAAGAUGUCUCUUUAUCAAAAACGUUUUUACACUGAAAAGGAAAGAAAACAAGAGAGAAACUAAGAGAGAAGAUAACCUCUAGGGUUUUUCUCCCAAAAAACUAUUUAUAUUAAGGGUCUUGGACCGGGUCAGCCCAGGACAAACUUGGUACUGACCCGGCUCAGUUGGGUCUGGUGGCUGGUGUGCGAGAUGGUCACGUCCAUGGCUGACCCGCACACCCAUCUCGCACCAAAAGAAGUUCAAGACUCCUAGAUGGUCAAGUCCUUUCUCAGCCGCACAUCCAUCUAGCACUUCAUCUUGCAUGUUCUUGUGCGUGCUCAGUUCAGCUCCUUCCCCACUCGCAAGACCAGGUCGCACACUCCAGAAUGUAUAUGUGCGAGAUGGUCACUUCCUUGUCCAAGUCGCAUGCCCAAGUCGGUGUAAUUUGCGAACACAUGUGCUACAUGGUUCCACUUCAUGUCCAACUCGCAGGCUUAUCUCGCACAGCAUUGUGGACUUACUCAAAUUUGAUUCUGGAAGUCUUUACCUUGCUCAGAGUCUCCUUACACUCAUCUCUAAAGUCUCAACUUGUUUCCAGAGCGUUGAACAUUCAUGGGUGCGAGUUAAUCAACUCGCAGUACCGUAUCGCACAACCUAAGCCUUCUUGGACCACUUUACAUUCAGGGGAGAGUAACUUCCAGGAUAUGGAUCCAAAUGGCAUGAUUUCAACUGAAUUGGAAAGAAAACUCAAAUAUCUCAAACUUUGGAGAAGGAAACCUCAGCGCUUGGGAAGUGUAAGGUUCCCCGGAGGGCUCAUCUUUGCAGUACAUUGACACGGUCAGAAAGACGCUUCUAGACAUGAGUCCAUUCCGGAAACGUGGCUCCAAAUUGAAUGAUCUAAAACGUUAUGCAAAGACUCAAAUAUCUCAAAUUGAUGACGGACCUGUAGACUGAAUCGGUCUGGAAGCGCAUCUUCCUUCGCAAUCUUCGGAGCUCAUUGGGUCGGUCCUGAAACUGUCGCGAGACAUGUGUAUCUUCUGGUGAGCUUAACUCUCAUUUCACGACUCUAAAUCCAAUGAUUCGACCUGUUCUGGGACCGUGACUCGAUCAUCUCCAACUUUGGUGAGGGUUCGGGUUCAGGUGACGUCAGCAAGGGCUCCGUUCCACCGGUUCUUUGAUGCGCGUUGCCUUGGUCCUUUAUCCGCUCCGAGACAUGUACUGCUUCUUAUCGCCGUAACUUAUAGCUCAAAACUGCAAAUAGGACGAUCUAAAGUGUUAUGGAAACUAGACUUAACGCUGUGGAUUCUUUACAAAGACUCCGAAGGCUGAAUCUUGGUGAAAGUCCUCCUUCUCAGGUGAUCAAGUUUAGGGAUUGUCGGCUCCAUAACACUUGUCCGAGUCUGAUGCACAUAAGGUGAUGGUCUCUCCAUGGCUUUUGUCGCAAUUGCUCCCAAUUAGCUCCAAAUGACCUGUAAACACUCCAAAAGUGCAAAACUCUCUAGGACCUAAUGAAAUUCCUAACUAAAGACAAAAGCAAAGACAAAUAUAUGUAAAACUACCUAAAUGUAUGCAUGAGACUCAAUAUUUGGACAAAAAUGCAAUCCUAAACAUGAAAAAAUAUGUGUAUAUCAAACUGGAGUCACGGACGUAUGAAUACGCCACUGUCGUGAUCAUAGACAACUAUCUCUCUCAACCCUGACCAGUGGGUUUCCACUUUGGCCCUGGAAAAGAAGAGUUGCAUUAUGUUUAAGACUCAUCAGCAUUCACAAAUCGCCCAUAGGUAGGUUUCCACUCCUAUGUUUGUUUUGCUCUCCCAAACUAGAUCUGACACCGGAUGAACACUUUCGUGUCACCUAGAAUCUAGAUCAGAUUGUACUUCAUGACACUACUCUGACGCAUUAAAAGUAGAUUCAGAAGAAAAAGUUCUAAGAUUCGGCUUCAAUAGCUCAUGGAAUCCUCAUCGAACAUAUAUAUCCUCAUCGAAAAUCUCUUAGACUCAACAAUAAAACUACUCAGACAUGAUAAACGAAAUCAAAAACAUAGUAUUAAAACGUAGUACAGAAAUCGAAAUUGAAAAAGAAAGAACAAGGGUUCAAGAGAUGGAUCUCUCUCUCCCUAAAAGCUAAAGUAAAAACAAUAAGCAAAUAAGCUGCUGUAAAAGGUGACGAUGAUUAGGGUUCCUAAAACAUGUAUUUAUAGUGCUUAAGACAUCUCUGGGUGUCACUUAGGGUUUCUCCAAAUGAGUAAAUCAUUUUGGGCUUCAGAAAUGGGCUUUCGGGUUCGGAGUUAGCUGGCCGCGGUCGGGGAGCUUGUGACCGCGGGGAAUGGCCUGUUGGCCGCGGGUGGAAACGCUUGCCAGCUGGUUUACUGGACAUCUUGCUCUUCGAGUAUCUUUGGAUUGAACCGUUGGAUUGCCAAGCUGUAAAGUGUGCUGGAAAGCUGAUACUUCCAUCUUUAAGAUCUCCAAAUUUGAGCUGGAUCAGAACGUGAGAAGGCCUUCAAUCGGGGGUGAACUUCUGACAGUUUGACUCUGAGCUGAAAUCUGGUCUUCUAUCCAUUUUGUUAAGCUUUUCCCUAAGUUUCCUGAAAAGAGUCUUGGAACUACAAAUACUAGAAAAACGUAAUAAAAGUACUUGAAAGCAAUUAAAAACAUAUAAAAAGUAUUUCAAAACGAUCCAUAAAAGUGGUCAAAAUACGGUGUUAUCAGCUUUCUUUCUUGUCACACGAAAGCACUUCUUUCAAUCAUGAAAGAGAUCAAAAACUUGCUCAAAUAUCAUUUUAGGUGUGGUACUACAAGACCAACUAUGUAUGAGCAUUUUGUAUGUAAAAGCAUACAAGGAUCUUUGAGACAAUAUUUAUUUCUCUAGUUUACAAUUUUGAGAACCUCAAGACAAACUUGUCAUUCUAAAGUUUCUUCUUCCAAAUUUCGACUUCCAAUAACUCUUCAAGAGUUUUGACUAUGUCCAAACCAAAGAUUCCAUUGAUCCAUAAUCUUUUGAUACAUACACGUGGUUAUAUUGAUUAUCGUAUAAUAUCUACUGUAAGAGUAUACCUUGUGAAGCAUAUUUGCUUUAAUUCAAUCCAAUAGCCAGUGUUCUUGAGAACAUCAUUUUGAAAUCAUUAAUCAUUCUAAUUGCUUCUAGCAAUUUGAUUUCAUUUUAGAACUAAAUCAAGUCUUUCUUUCAUUCUUAGACUGAUAAAGGAUCUGUAAAAUGGUUGCAUCCACCACAAGAAAAUAUAUAUUUUCAUGUAUCACUUUCAGUCAUCUUUCGUAUAAAGAUCCACUUAUAUCUCACAAGUUUUACACUUUCAAGUGUACGGACUACUGGUCCAAAUCUUUCUCUACAAGAAAUUUAACUUUUUCCCAAACGGCAUUUACCAUGAUUGGCCAAUCAUCGCUUUACGCGUUUUUCAAUACAUCUUUUGUACCGCGGUUUAUGAUCUUCAUUUCACAUCAUCAACUGCUUUAUUACAUGCAAAAUAUUAUUGACGUUGAUUUGCUUUUGAUUCCAUUCAUGACUCAAUUAGUUGAAAUCUCUUAUCAUUACUAAGUACCUAGAUUUCUUUAUUUCUCAUGUCUAUAUCUAUUCUAGAGAAUCCUUCCUCGACUUUGCCAUUUUAUAUUAUGCUCAUUUUUCUUUUCGAAGAUUCUUAUCUUUGGAAUCAGUAGGUCUAUCAUGCUUCAUGCGAUCUUUAGCCCUUAUAGCAGUUGAUAUUAUCCCCCUGAGACAUCAAUAUUAAUUGGAGCACAGCUGGUAUAACUUAAUCAGGGUCAGGUAAUGCUUUUAACAUCAAAUUUGCUUAACUUUGCAAAUAAAUUAUCUUUCAACUUUUUUAGUGCACAUUCUUUCUGAGGAUCAAGAUAAUUUCUUUCACUGAUUUUCCAGCUGUUUAUUUUCUCCCCCUUCCUUAGUCGUUGGAAAGACUGAGUCACUAAAAUUACAGUCUGUUAUUCUAAUCUUAUCCCUUAUUUGAUGGCUUAAUACAUUUAAUCAUCAAGGGAAAUUCAUAUCCAACAUAUAUUCCUCUUUUGAGGUCCCAUCUUAGAUCAAUGUGGUAGAGCAACAUUAUCCAAAACUUUUAGAUGGGAAACAUCUGGUUUCUGACCAAAACCAACCAUAAGGAGAACUCAAAAUUAUUCGUUCGCUUAAUGCGAAUCAAUGUGGUUUCACUCUUAAUCAAUUAACGAAAUAGUUUCACAAAGAUACAUAGUGGGUGAUCAAUCCAAAAUAUCUCUUUGUGUAUGUACCAGAAAAUUAACAUAUCCAAAUUUAUUGGAGAGUGAAAAUUAAACACAUUAGAAUUUUCUGGAUCCUUUUUGCAUUGUUAUUUAACUGGAAUGACUUAACCAGUUUUGCCAAAACAGUGAGAUUUUCAGUAAAUUUCUUGUUUACUAGACUCAUUUAUAUCUCACAUACUAGUGUAGUACAAUUCAAUAGAGAAAACAAGUAGUUUUUCUAAAUUGAUUUUACUGCCUUGGAUAAUACUCAUGAUGUGAAGAUGUUAACAUUUUCUUCAGUCAUUGUCUCAAUUUGGAUAUUUUUUACACAUGAUUUAUCGAACAUGAGUGUGAACAUGAUCUUCUGGAUGUUCCACUUUCUAUGAAUUGUGGGAUUCUGCAAUUAAGGUUAUAACGUGCUGAUAACAUAUUGUAAAUCAGUUAUCGAGAGAGAGAGCAAAUUGGUGUUUCUUAUUCCAGAGAUAAUGAGGGGUAUAUAUAGUAUUACAAAGACCCAACUAUUACUCUAAGUUUCUGAUGUGGGACAGAUACAAUAUUAGUAAUGGACCUUAUAAUGGGCAUCCAUAUACUAAUAUUCAUAACAAUAUAUAUAUAUAUAUAUAUAUAUUGAAAUAAAUAUAUAUUCAAAAUUUCACAAUAUUUUCUUUUAUUAUAAUUUAUUAUAUUUUAUUAUAAUAUAUAUCCAAACAAAAGUUGAAUUUUUUUUUUUAAUUUAUAAAUAGUUAGAUACGAGAAAAUUAAAUUUUUGUAAGAGUUUGUGGACUAGGCAUAAAAACUAAAAUCAUUAAACGAUACAAAUUAAAGUUAAGUGUUCAGAAAUAUAUAUUUUUCUGGGUCAGUCAGAACAAAAAUUUGAUUCAGUUCUAAAUAGAUUACGUAAACGGAUUAGUUUGGUUUGACAUCUCUAUCUAUAAUCAAUAGCUAGUUACAUAAUAAAAUUAGAGUAAAAAAAAGUUUUUUUAAAACUUUAAACAUUUUUUCUUUAAAAAAUCUCACAAGCUAGCUAUAGCGCAGUAUAAAUCCUACUCUAUAUAGUAGAAACUUUAUAAAUUAAUAUUUGAUAAAUUAAUAAACUCUAUUAAUUAAUAAAUUUCUUUAGUCCUAAAUUAAUAUUUUGAACUAAUUAAUCUCUUUAUAAAUUAAUAACUCUCUAAAAUUAAUAAUAUAUAAGAGUUCCACUGUUAUUAAGUUAUUACUGUACUAUUAUUUAAGGAUUCAUUUACAUAAAUGAACAUUUAUUUGUAAGAAAGUACAUAAUCAUUUACAGUAAAAACUCUAUAAAUUACUAACAUUGGGAUUUUUAUAUUAUAUAAAUUUAGAGAGUUAUUAAUUUAUAAAGAAAUUAAUUAGCUCUAAAUAUUAAUUUGAGACUAAAGAAAUUUAUUAAUUAAUUGAGUUUAUUAAUUUAGUGAAUAUUAAUUUAUAGAGUUUUUUCUGUACAUAAAUGAGCCUUUAUUUGUAAUAUUAAUUAUUUACAUAAAUGAACUUUUAUUUGUAAAAUAUUACAUAAAUAAACUUUGUAAAUAUAGAAAAUUUUAAUUAAAUAUAAAGAUAGUUAGUGGAUAGUUAAUGAAUAAAUAAAUUUAAAACCUUAGAAAACUCAAUUAAAUAUUUGUAUCAAAAAAUUAUGGAGCUUAGUAAAAUUAGUAUAUGUAACACUACUCUAUUUGUAUGUAUAGUGGGCCUUAAAAAAAUUAGCACAUUACACCUUAAAAAUCGUGUGUAUCUUAUUAAAUAUGUCAAUAAAUAUGUUAAUGCCUAUUAUUGGAAAUAAGAUUACAAAAAUUAUUACAAAGGAUCUUGAAGGACCAGAUCAAGCUUCAGCUUCCGGGUUGGUCUGAUCGUCCUUCGGAGACGUCACUACAUUCUUUCUUUCCACAAUCAAUGCGUCGGUAGCUAUUGACGCAAACCUUUCACCUUUUUCUCCUCGGCAUCGAGGGUCGUAGGCUCGUCAACCUUGCACAUCGAGGGUCGUAGGCUCGUCAACCUUGGCAUACUUAGCCUCAAGUAGCUCUUCGAUCUUCUUCUCCACGGACUUGACUUUCUCUUGAAGCUUGACGAUCGCCUCGUCUUUUGCUGCCUUAUGCGCCCUUUUUACCGCAACAUCAAACAUCGCCUCCUUUUCAGCAAGGUGUUUGACCUUUUGCUCCUCGAGCGUGACCGGGAGAUUGAAAGUUCGGUCCAGCUCAGUCUUAAGCAGCUUCUUCUGUCCCUCGACGGCCUUCACCCGAGCCUCGGCCCUGUCGAUCUCCUCCAAAUGCCUCCUUGUCAUCUCGUCUACACGACGUUUCUCUUUGUGCGCCUCAGAUCUAUAGUCAGCUACGAGAUUGGUGAUGGAUGCUAGAAACUGAAAUAUAAAAAGAUCAUGAGUACAAAAAAAAAACCGAACUGAUACUUGAAGAUAUCUUCUCCAUUCUUACCUUUUUACAGCGCAGCGACAUGUUUAAAAAAGAAUUUGACUGUGUCAAGACCCCUAGAGGAGGAAAACGAGUAUUCGAGCUCGCCACAGAUGAAACAAGAAGAGCUGCAGCAUUUGCGUCAUCGACGACCGAAGUAACAGUAGGCGGUGUGGAAGGAGCCUCAGUCCGCCACUUUUUAGUCGUUUCCUUGGCAGGGCCCUUUUCUUUGUAUCCAGCAGCGGCACAACGUUUUUGGCUCGCCGAAUCCUUGUGUUUCGCCAAGGACGAAUCAGAGGGCGUCGCCUCAUGUGGCAGUGCCAAGAUCAGCCUCUCCAAACAGGAAUCAUUGGGAGGAUUCUCAUUCAAAUUUUUGACUACCUCGGGGGCAUUUUCCCCCAGGAGCGACUCGGACAUGGUUGUUCCUAAACCCGGUUGUGUCUCAGACAGCGCGAAUUCGCCAUGGCUCUUUCACUGGCAGUCACCUUGGGAGAAUGAACUAGAGUACGGCUCGUCUUGAGGUGAGAGGCAAGAGGUUCGGCAUCACGCUUUGAGGCUUCUUGAGCUUCUAACUAUUUCUUUCUAAGAAGCGAGAGUUUCAUUAUCUUUCCGUACGUAGAUUACGAAGAACGUGUAUCCAAACCGAUGAAAAAACUAAAAAGUGCAGCUCGGGCUCUUUCAAUUUGGCGAAGCAAGAAAUGCCUUGUCCAAUGUGUUCUUCUCGCAGCUAAUUCUUAGACCACUUCUAAGAAACCGUCUGGGAUUGGCGGGAAUAUAUGCCUAACUGCAAAAGGAAAACAAGAGGUUUGCUGUUAAAAUCUAUGCGAUAAAAACAAGAAUCGAACCUAAGAGCUUUGGAUUGGCUUCCGAGGGUUUCUCAGUCAGUUUUGACCAAAUCAAGGAAGUCACACCCAAUGGAUGCCUCGUUAACCAAGACAUAGAAGAACUUCUCUUCCCAAAAACUAUUCUUGCUGGGAAAGCCUCGGAUGAACCUCCGAUUUUUCUAGUUAAAGAUAUAGUAUCAUGUCAUGUCUCUGCUUCGGCGAAUCUCGAGAAGCUUCAGCAAGUGAUUGACGUCCACCUACACAUCACAUUCAUAACUCCAAACAAAAAUCCCGAUCAGGUGACGGAGUCCCCGGGGCAUAAAUUAUCCAAUAGAGAGACUCAGCUCCCAAAGAAACCGCAGAAUCGGCACAGAGAUCGGGAACCAGAUAUAGCAUAGUUCAAAGAAACUCUCGUACAAGAUAAAAUGGUUCGAAGGGGUUUAUUCACCCGAGCAGACGGCACAGAAACUAAGAACUCUACCGUCUCAGAAAUUCCAAAGAUAUGCCUCAACACCUGCAAUGUCUCAGGCUUCGAAAGGGUCGAGCCGGGAGGGUCCGGUUCUUUUCCAAUUAUAUCGUUUUCUUGAAGGUCCCGCCUCGAGAUUAGACAACAUACACUCCAAAUCUCGCCUCGCUUCAAACGGAUAAAAAUUCCAAUCUUCUUCUUUGGGUUUGACUUCGGCGGACUCAUCAAUGUGACUCGCCACCUCGGCGACUUGAAAGGGAGAAGAAUCCUCGAAAGGACUUUAAAGCACCGAGCCGAUCGCUUCGGUCUCUAUAUGAGACGAAGAAAUUUCACUUUCGCCUCGGAGGCUGUCUGAACCAGCCGAACAGCUCGCGUUGUCAUCUCCUUCACUUUCAGCUAAAUUAUAAAGCGAAUUGGCUGAAUGAGUCGUAUCAGAAGACAUGGCGAACGUUGAAGAAUGUAGAAACAAAUCGAAACAUCUGAAGAAGCGGAAGAGAAGAUCUAUUCCAAAUCUGGGUUGAGAACUUACAAAAAUCUUCAAAGAUUGAUAAAAAAUUCCUAAAAAUGAAUCAAAAUCUUUGAAGAUGGAUCAGAAAACUCAAAGGCUCACUGGAACAUCUUGAAUGACAUAGUUGUUGGACGAAGGAACCCUAGCCGGAGCAAAAUAAAAACACUAAAAAAAAAAGAGAGAGAAAAGAACUUUACCUAAGGUAAAAUUUGUGGGAAAGUAAAUUGUGAGGGGUAAAGGCAACAGUUUGACUAUAUAUAAAAGUUUGAAAGCGCGUGAGGUCUGUGUAAACGCGUGGGAUUCACCUAUACUUUGGGAAAUAGCAAAAAUUUAUGGGUCCUAGGGUAAUAAAGGCCAUGCGCGUGGAAUCUGAAUCGACAAAUUUCAUGAUCCUAGCAAGAUACUUGCCUUCAUCAAGACGAGCCGUAAUCAUAACCGAAGUGAAAAAAUUGCUCUUAUUAAGAUGCCUCGUCGAGUGUCUGCAUCGGAAAAACUCUCUCUUGCGAAACGCCUCGGCAAACUUUAUCUUGUGAAACGACUCAGGAAACUCUCUCUUGUGAAACGCUUUUGCAAAAUUUCUCCUCGCAAAACGCCUCGGCAAACAUCUGCCUCCGGAAACUUUCUCUUUCGCAAAAUACUUCGGCGAGCAUUUGCCUCGAUAAAAUCUUCCCCUAGAAAUUGACUCAGCAAAGAUUUGCCUUGACGACAUCAUAACUUUUCUUGAAAACGCCUUGGCAAGAAUUCAUCCCUAUAUCAUUCUCUUGGAGACUCCACUCCCAACACUUUGCUUCAAAACUGCAUUUCGACGCCGCAUGCCUCAGCUCGGCAAAUUCUCAGACAUUCGGCCACCAGGUUCAUAUUAGCCUGCCGAACUAACAACUUAACUUAGUUAUUCUUGUGACUCAGAAUAUACCGUCCACGCGAUCCCAUACCUUGUCUACCGUCCAGAUUCCUCGAAUUAUCCCAAACAUCUGCUCAUUGCUUAGUCACUCAACCAAGCAUCCCCACAUAACUAAGUAAUGACGAGAUAACCAGAACUCUCAUCAUGAUCCAAACUUGAUCAACACGCACUAGCAGAUUCGUAAAGAUUCUCACACAUCUCUUUGGUACCAAGACACUCAACCAACCAAUCCAACUUGUAUAAGUAAACGUAGAGAAAGGCACCAAGCCUCGAGCCAUCGCUCCAGAUCCACCAUCAGAUUCUACGUAUCAGCUUACGUCUUACCCAAACUGUAACUGCUUGACAGUUACUCAGAUUCCCCCUGAAUUCCCCACAGACAGAGUCAUAGAUUCCUUGUGAAUCCCCACAGACACCACACAAAUUCACCAUGAUUCUUUGCAGAUAAACAACACAUAUACUCCGCGAAUCAUCGCGAACAGACUACAUCAAAACUGCCGUAAAUCUUCUCACAUUCCCGCACAAACCCAGACACCUCUCGCGCAUCCCUCGCGCACCACUCGCACACCACUAGCGCAUCACUUGUAUCUCACUUAUACAUCGCUCGCACGAUGCUCCUGAAUGCAUGUGCAUCGCUCGCACUUUAAUUGGGCGUUACUCGCACUUCUCACCGUGUAACACUCCAUGUAAUGAUCUAAUCGCACAGACUCGGUUCUCCGAUCACAAAAACUCGGUAGCAGAAUUUACAGAAAUACUCGCAUAAAACAUACGUCAUGGCUCCACACAGUUGCCUCCAAAGAUUCACAGACAUUCACCAUUGAUCGUACCAUGAUCUCGGCCAGCACCAGAAUCACAUUCCUAGUCUUCCAGACACUUUUACUGUAGAUCAUAAUCUCGAUCAACGUACAAGGUCUUGCGUAGACUCGCCGACGAAUCCGGAAAUGCUCUCCUAUAACCACACAGAUCCGCGUAACCGCACACACCAUCUGUCCGAACAGACUACCGUCAGUGCACACAUUCACUGGCGAAGCCACGACGCUGAUUUUAGAUCUCUCCUAUUAUUUCUCCCUAUGUUUCUUUUUUCCGCUAUAAUACCAGAGAUAACCACAUUAUCUUUUUCCUUUGGUGUUAUUACAGAUCCACACGUUGAAACCAUCUAAAAACUGUCCUGCGCACAUACUUUAGCGCUUGCACGCGUAUAGAAACCGAUCCACACACCUAGAAACUGUCUGCGCAAUUUUCCCACGAAGGCAAUAGUCGUGCCCAUGCAUUUCAUCGUGUGCCUCAAAACAGAUAACCGUUCCCUCGCGUUUUCCUGCACGUGGACUGCCCUGCUCCUAACAGCAGCUCACCAACCUGUCCGAAUCCGACAAGUCCGAAAAUUAUGGACUGUCCGAAUAACCAUCAAACCAGUUCCAAAAAUCACGGACGAGCUAACAUAAGCUCAAAAAUCACCUGGACUUUAUCUUUCGUUUGCCUUGAAACAUUUCCAUCCCAUCAGCUACGAAAUACAAAACAUGGGUGUUACAAUUUUUCUCCACUUAGAAUGAAUUUGUCCUUGAAUUCAACGGUUGUUGGAACCUUUUUCUACCCAACUUCACGAAGUAUCGGAACCAAUUCCACAAACUUCACCAUAUAACUCAGUAACUUUAUACUUCAGAUUUAUUCAACUCACUCUCUGUCUCACAGGACCAGAAUAUUUUUCCCUAAUAAUUAAGCGUAGUAGUCCUUAAUUCCAAGGAAUCUCUUGGAUAUCGAACAAUCAUUGGCAAGUACACCUCACUUCCAAUGGCCUGUCUCGAAUUACCUCAAUUCUCGGCAACUAAACUCACUACCUCAAUUGAGUUACGCCCACCAUUUCCCGAUCACAGUCUCUCGCGUAAUUGAUCUCGAUCUUGCCCUUGCCGCUCUUGGAUUCAUUACCUAUACCUUAUGUUUGAUCACAGACUCAUUUCCCGACCAUCUCCUGGAUUUUCAAGUCCCACCGGACAUUUGUGCCUCUUAUAUUUUUUCCGGGUAACACGUAAACCCUUACAAACAUUCACGGAUCUCUCUGAGCCUCCACGACUUUACUGAAUUACCUUUGGUCAUCCCCAACCCUUAUAAGCAUUUUUGAAUCACUCAUGAUCCCUGCAAACAUUCAUAGAUCAAUUCUGAUCCUUCACAGAAACUUCACGGAUCUUUCCUGAUCCUCCUAAAAACAUUAUGGAUUCUCACGAUCUUUACAGAUUUUUCAGAUCCUCAGAGAUUCGGCUGAGGACACACUUGGUCCCCAUUGAAUUCUUCACAAUACACAUUGGUGGACACACUACUUCCCACAGAUGUUUCCACAGACUUCCCUUGGUGAACACUCGGGUUCCCAUAGACAUUUUCAUGGACACUCCCACACAGACACUCUUUGGUGAUACUCCCUAGUAAACUUAGUCCUCACAACGCAACUCUCAACGCAUUGCGUUAGUUUACAUGGACAGUUCAUCUUGGCCAAACAAGAUCGUCCUAGCAAACUCCAAGAGUUCCCAAAGAUGCGAUCACAAAACACUCGUCAAGCAUGAUUACCCAUAGUUACCAAGCAGCUCGUAACUAGACAAACCAUAGCGAGAACCCUGACCCCCAAGCGCAUGUCCAAGCCCGACACUCAAGUAAAACGAAUCAACCACCAAGACUAAGCCUGAUGUGAUCAUGGAAGCAACAAGAAAUAUCCACAUAAUGUGUGGCUUCUUUGUAUAAGAUCCAUUAAGACUUCAAGCCCAUGAAAAAUUUCGACCAGGCCUUUUUACAGGAGGAGUGAAGUGGAUCUUAACUUGAUUAAAAGCCUAAAAUUAAAAGAGAAGACGUAGGUCCAGCAAGGAUAAACCUCAACCCAAAGGAAUAGAAAAAGUCACAGCUAAACAAUUUAUUGUUUCUGCUAGUAGGAGAUGUUUAAUGCUACUAGUUGUUUGCUGUUGGUUUCUUUUCAUUUCUUCUUAUUUAUAACCCUUGUAAGCCCAGCAAGAAAAAAGUCAAUCAACCCUUUAUUAUCUUCUUCUUCUUUGAGCAUGAUUCAUUCAAACUUUUUGUUGGUGUGUAAUGUCCAGCAAGCAACUCGAUUUCUUUGGUGUGUAAUAUAUAGAGGAUCGACGGUGAAUCAGAAGCCAUUUUGCAACUUCUGUGUGACCUUUCAACCCCCAUCCUUUGUUCAGUGAGCUUCACAGCCAUUAAGGCAAAGCUGAUCCUUUUUUUACUAGCCUUACUAAGUGUCGAUGUUUGGGAAGACCUCCUCAAGAACCAAUCUGGUGGAAACCAAGGAGUCGCAAAGGCAAGUGAAUGACCUUAUGGAGAAAGGGCAUAUCAGAGGGAGCAUGAGCCCUUGUGUCCUUUUCGUGUUGUUGGUACUUAAGAAAGACAGUAGCUGGCGAAUGUACAUUGAUUGUAGAGGAAUCAACAAUAUCACAGUUAUGUACCGACAUCCCAUUCCUAGAUUACAUGAUAUGCUUAAUGAAUUGCAUGAUUCUAGCAUCUUUCCUAAAAUUGAUCUUAAGAGUGGAUAUCAUCAGAUUACAAUGAAAGUAAGGGAUGAGUGGAAAACAACAUUUAAGACGAAGCAUAGUCUUUACAAGUGUUAGUUAAGCCAUUUGUACUAACAAAUGCACAUAGUACGUUCAUGAGGUUAAUGAAACAUGUACUUAGAGAUUUUAUAGUUGUUUUGUAGUAGUCUACUUUGAUGACAUUCUGAUUUAUAUCAAGAACCUAGAAAAGCAUGUUAGUCACUUGAAAUAUGUUCUAGAUGUGCUUAGGAAAGAAAAGCUAUUUGCUAAUUUUUAAAAUGCACGUUUUGUACAAACAAUUUUGUCUUCCUAGGUUUUUUGUAAGUGCGAAUGGAAUCAAGGUCGACAAAGAAAAGGUCAAGGCUAUUAAAGAUUGGCCGAGUCCCAAACAGUUUGGUGAGGUGAGGAGCUUCCACGGCCUAGUCGGGUUUUAUAGACACUUUGUUAAAGAUUUUAGUACCCUGGUUGCACCUCUAACUGAAGUUGUCAAGAAAGACAUGAGAUUCGAUUAGGGAGAAGGACAAGAAGAGGUGUUUCAAACCUUGAAAAAUAAGCUAAUCAACGCACCUCUAUCAGUCUUACCUGAUUUUUUGAAAACCUUUGAAAUAGAGUGUGAUGCAUCUGCUAUAGGAAUUGGAUCUGUUUUGAUGAAGGAUAAUAAGCCCAUUGCAUACUUUAAUGAAAAACGCGGAGGAGCUACUCUAAACUACCUAAUGUAUGACAAGGAGCUGUAUGCUUUAGUCCGGGCUUUGCAACAUGGCAACAUUACUUAUGGUUUAAGGAGUUUUUCAUUCAUACUGAUCAUGAGUCUCUCAAGCAUCUAAAAGGACAACAAAAUCUCAUCAAAAAACAUGCCAGGUGGGUCAAAUUCACUGAGACAUUUCCCAAUGUCAUCAAGUAUAAACAAGGUAAGGAAAAUGUAGUUGUUGAUGCAUUUUCUUAUAGGUAGGCCUUGCUCUCUAUUCUUGAUGCUAAGUUUUCGGUUUUGAACAGCGUAAACAAAUAUAUGUAUCUGAUUCUGACUUUAAAGAUGUAUAUUAAUUUUAUGAAAAGUUUGCUAAGGAUAAUAAUAUGGAUCUCUCUUUUAUUACAAUCGCUUGUGCAUGCCUUAUCGUUCUAAUCGAAACUUGCUUGUUAGAGAAGCUCAAAGGGGUGAACUAAUGAGACACCUUGGAAUUAUUAAGACCCUUAAAGUAAUUCAAGAUCACUUCCUGGCCACAGAUGAAGAGGCACAUGGAGAGGAUAUGUCAAAGAUGUGCUACAUGCAAACAUGCAAAGUCUAAAGUUCAACCUCACAGUUUGUAUACUCUAUUACCUAUUCCUAAUCAUCCUUGAACUGAGAUCUCUAUUGAUUUUGUUCUUGGACUAGGAUAAGUAAGGAUUCUAUCUUCGUAGUGGUAUAUAGAUUUUCUAAAAUGGCACAUUUCAUACCAUGUAACAAAACCGAUGAUGCAUCACAUGUAGCUAAUCUGUUCUUCAAGGAGAUUGUCUAUUUGCAUGGCAUGCAAAGGACCAUUGUGACUGAUAGAGAUACAAAGUUUUUAAGUUUCUUUUGGAAAGCAUUGUGGUCUAACCAAGGAACUAAGAUUUUUAUUUUCUACUACAUGUCAUCUGCAUAAUGAUGGGCAAACAGAAGUGGUUUAAGGAACCUUGUCUACAUUGUAGCGUGCAUUAAUUGAGAAGAACCUUAAUUCUUGAGAAGAUUGCUUACCUCAUGUAGAAUUUGCAUAUAACAAUUUUGUUCACUCUGCUUCGAAGUUUUCUCCAAUACAGAUUAUUUAUGGUUUUAACCUUUCAUCUUCUUUGGAUCUAGCCCCUUGGCCUCUAAGUGAAAAGGUAAAUUUAGAUGGGUAAAAUAAGGCUGAGCUUGUUGAACAGAUCCAUGAGAAGGCUAAAAAAAACAAAGAAGAGAAGAUGAAGCAAUAUGUUAGACAAGCCAACAAGGGCCGCCGCAAGAUGAUCUUUAAGGUUGGAGAUCUCGUGUGGGUACGUUUGAGAAAAGAUAGGUUCCCAGUAGAACGAAUCUCUAAACACAUGCCUAGAAUUGAUGGUCCUUUCGAAGUCAUAAAAAUAAUCAGCGUUGAUGUACAAGGUAAAUAUAACAUGAGUCCGAGUUUUAAUGUUGCUGAUUUAGUUCUAUUUCUUGCAAAUGAUCCAGAUUCAACACAUGGUAUUUUCAAAUAUAUGGUAAGUAGUUGAUAUCUCAACAGAGCAAUGGAAAGACAAGAUCUCUUGAUGUAUUGGAUAUGGACGACCACAAGAGCAUUCCUCAAGAUCUAAAACCUCAACAAAUGCCAUAACUUCAAGCAUUGGCUUUAAGUCCAGCCCAAGCUCCAAAGAAUAAGCCAACCAUUGCAAAUUUUGACACUCCUUGUUGUCGUGGAAUGAGAUAUGGUUAGAUUGUUUCAAAACUCUAAGUUCUUGUGGUUAGGAAUGGAGAAUCCAUAUGACCAUUUGGACUCUUUUGAGAGGUUGUGUGACACAUUUAGGAUUGGAGGAGGGCCCCAAGAUAGUAUCAAGCUCAUCUUGUUCCCAUUUUCACUUGGAGAAAAUACAUGCGCAUGGGAGAUAUCACUACCAUCUCACUUAGUCAAGUCGUGGGAUAAUUGCAAGAGGAUGUUUCUUUUAAAGUUCUAUCCCAUACAAUGAACGGUCCAAACUAGUAGAAACAUCUUGAGCUUCAAAACAAGGCAUCUAUGUGACCUUUCAUGAGGCAUGGGACAGACUUAAAGGAUAUACUAGCGAUUGUCCUCAUCAUGGGUUCAACAAGAAGCUAUCCUUAGUAUAUUGUAUUGGGGAGUUGAUAGAGAGCAUAAAUGGACAUUGGAUGUAGCUAGCAAUGGGCGUUUUGCAAAUCUCACGAUAGCACAAGGACAACUACAUGUUGAGAAUUUGGCCAAGAGUAAUAAAAGAUACAAGGAUCAUGAUAUUGAAGCUUGUCAAGAUGAUCAAGGUGAGGUGGAGCUUUGUUUUCAGCAAGAGUUUGUUCCACAAGGCCAAGUAGGUUCUUCAAAGCCUAAAGAGAUGGAAUUGAACAAAUUUUUCCAACAAAUAGACAAGAUGAGAUUAAUACAAGAGUAAAGAGUUCUUACAAAGAUCUCCACACAAAGCAUGAAUUCAUGUCUUCUAAGGUCAAACACUUGGAGAAACAAGGUUCUAAAGAAAGUUCCCUCACUAGUGAACCCAUACUAAAGGGCAAGGAACUAAAGGAUUAUUGUAAUGCUAACUUCUCAAGUAAGGUGCAUUUGUUUGAUGAGAAUGAGGAAGCUAUAAUAGAGGUUGAGAGACUUCUCCAUGGCACCAAAGAUGAGAUUCACCACUUUGAGAUGAAGUAUGUGGGAUCUUGUGAAAUGAAGGAAAGAGGAUCAGCCUCUUGAAGCUUGUGAAAAAAAAAGAAAGAACCUGAAGUAUAGCCUGAUCUUGAGUUCAUUGAUGGUUAGAAAUUCUUUAGUGAUGAUGAGGAUUGAUUGGAACUUCAAUAUUCUACACCAUAAAGAAAGAAGUUUCUUGCAAAGUGGUCCAAUAGAGAGGUGGAGGUCCUAAAGCUAAGAAGAAACCGAGCAAGGCCAAUAAGGAAAAAAAAUUUCUUGACCAAUCUUCCACUAUCAUUCUCAUUCCAUUAACUCAUCAAGAUGGAGUGAUUGAGUAUAAGAUUCAGUGUAGAGGAAGGUCUAAGCCAUUUGCAAAGGUCAAAGCAAUUCUCACUCAAGAACUCAAGGACAAAGGUGAAAAUGGUAUUGAGGAGCUUAUGAGCAAGGCAAUGAGGCUUGAGUUCAAGGAAAUCCAGGGAGUUCCACUACUCUCUCUCUCUCAUUAAAAGGAAGGUAUGAAAAGUCAAAAUUAGUGACUUAAAACAAAGUGUACUUGGAAGACAGUCCCAUGUCUAUCAUUGUAUAUACUUUCUCUUAUUGCUUUCUAGUUAAAUGUUAUGUUUUGGGGAGUCUUGAUCUUUUUGUUGAUUGUGUGCAAGGGGAUUUGAUGGUCUAAGAUUUAACACGUGGUAGAGGAAAACCAAGGCCGUGCACAACUGAUCUGUGGUGAUGCUAAGAUCCUUUGAUGCAUAGACAUCACUCCUCCUCUCCAUUAAACACUCAAGGUAACACUUUAAGACUUAUGUAUAGCAUUUAGUCUCAUUUUCUUUAGAAUUUUGUUUUUCCUCUUUCUCAUGCUUCUAUUACACAAGAGACUCUGUAAUUUGAGUGUGGGGGAGGGAUUUAGUGUUAUAUAACCAUGUUUCUUUGUGUUCUUAUUUUAUAUUCAACAUUUUGAGUCUCAUGCAUUCAUUCAUUAUACAGAAAAGAUAAAAAUUGGUAAUUUUUAAAGUUUUUUAUCAAAAAAAGAAGCAUACAGAUGCAUUUGCAUACUUAGGAUUGAGUAUAGAAUGCAUUUCAUAUAGGUUUUCAUCAUGCAUUGGGAAUAAUGGUUGAUUUUUCCUUGUAGAAUAUCAUUUUACGAAUUUGGUUCAGUGUCCUAGUUAUUAGUUGUUGAUGCAUCUAAUUGAGUUUCAAAUCAAGGAUGAACCCUAUUUGGAUCUUGUGUUUGACUUUUCUUGUCUUAGUUGAAUCAUGUUGUGAUUAGUUCCAAUCCUACUUAAGUGAAAACCUUUAAUUUGUCAUCUUAAUUAUCAGGUUUAUGCAUUUCAUAGUGAAUUCAUGGAUACCAUAUACAUAUUUGGGCUAUCUUCAUCUUGUUACAACUCUUUGUUAGCUCAAAUAGCCAAUUCCCAUCAUUGGAAUGGUUAACAACACCUUAAACCAAUCCUCCUUUCAAGCCACGAUUAGUGAGUCCAUGUAAGGCCUUAUUUUCAAGUAGAGUUGGCAAAACGUGUUGGGUCUAGAGCGAUAAAGGUUUUACAUGUAGGUUCUAGUCCAUCAUCAAUGGCUAGAUUAGGUUAGGCUAUGGGUUGGGAAGUUGUGGUUUAUGAGAAAAAUUGAUGGAGUGUGGUGUGAAAGAGAAAGAUGGGAUUGAAGUAGGGGAAUGAAUCCAAAAGAAAAAAAAUUUUGAGUUAGCAAGUGUUAAAAAAAGCUAUAAGUAUAAUAGCUAGUCUCUCGAGUUAACAAAAAGUAAAGAAAAGAAAAAGAAAGAGACUAGAAGAGUAAAUAAAAGAAAAGAGUUAAGUGUGUAAAGAAAAAGAACCUCUCAAAGUGUUAUGUGCAAGAAGAGCAUUCCCUUAAGGCCUUAGAGAUAAGAAAACAACAAAGGUUGGUUUUUAUCAAGGUAAAAAUGCCUUUGAGAAAGGGUAGCUUAGGAGAAGAAACUUCAUGGCUAGGUUUUUAAAGCAAAUGGGGUAUUGAGUCGAUGUAGGUCUAUCUUUGUAUGCAUCCAUUGCUUUUUACCCUUAGCAUUUUGCUAAAGUCUACUUCUUCUUGAGUGAUCCCUAGCUUGGAGCAACCAGUUACUUGUAUUGGGAUCAUCUUAGUCUCAAGACCAUGUCCCUAGCCAAAUGAAUUCAUUUGUCUUGCAUGAACAUGAUUCACUUGAAAACCUUUAUGAAUUUUAAUGGGUUGGGACUAGGCAUGCUUGUCUAGGCUAAUACUUGAGCUUGAUGCAUUUAUUGAUGGAUAUGGCUAGUUUCUUUUAAGUAGACUCACUUGUUUGCAUCCUAGAACUAGUAAAUUUGGACAUUGAACUUUGAAUUCUUUUAUUGAUAUUUAUGGAUAUGAGUUCACCUUUCAAACCUCUUUAUCACCUUGUUCUUGUUUGUUUUCUUGAUGAAAAGCAAAGGAUAAGUGUGGGGGAGUUGUGGAUAAAAUUUAUCAUGUUUUAUCAUUCAUUUUAGUAUAGUUUUAUGUCUAGUCCAUUCAUUUGAAAGCAUUUCUUAAUAUUUUAAUGUUAAUUGAGUUUAGAUAGGAAUGCAUUAGGUCCAAGUGUGUCUUUGCAUGUUUUGGAUUCAUUCUAGGUACUUUUGGAGAUUUAGAGUGCAUUUGGGCUUGAGAACACUUGAAGAAAUGGUGAAAAAAAUAUGAAGAAUCAGCCAAAACGUGCUCUCGGCAAAUUUCCUUUCCGGAAAAAAGUUUCCAUGGCGAAAACUGCAUCAGGCAUGUACCGCUCGGCCAAAAACCCUUCGCAAAAACACCAGUAUAUGAUUCUCUCGGCCAAAUCUUACACCAGCCGAUGUAUCUAAAAGUUCAUCUGAAACAGGCCCUUUUUACUAUGACUCAGCUUCGACGAUCUUCAUGGAAGUUGAAGGCCAGAGAGUCAUCUUUCCAAUUAAGUUGGUCUCAUGACGUUUGGAGCCUUAGAACGAAAGUUACAGCCGUUGCCGAACACAUAUGUCCUAUCGGUCCGAUUCCGUGCACAAUUUUAUAGUUUGUCAAUUACAUACAAAAAAAUCAAAGUCCAAUAAAUCUAUUUACUGUACCUGCUCCACAAGGUAUAUAUGUACUUUAUCAAAAGUUUUAUUUCUAAAAUUGUAUAUUAUUCAUUUUUAAGGUGAUUUAAUUUUGUUUUGUUUUUAUUUUUUUAUCAAAUAUAAACGCUCAUAUAUAUGUGGUCCUAAUCUAGUUUAUAAUAAUCCUUUGUCAUAAAAUUAAAUCUUUUAAUAAUUUCUCUAAAUAUAUAAAUAAUUGGAAAAAUGUGUUAUUUAAUCUGAUGUACAGACCUUCAAAAUUAUUUAAUCUCAUUGUUAGGAGAAACCAAUAUUGUACACUGUUAAAACUGUAGAUAUUUUGGUAAAAAUUGCAGUAAACCCGAGACAAAGAGGCACGAACAAAGGAGUGAAAAAAAGGAGGGGACAUGUGAUGCGAUAUAGCGAUGGGUCAUCGAGGGAAUCUUGUAUUCUUAUGAUAAUUGCCAACCAUGCUUAUUUUGGGUCUUCUCUUCUUAUUGCAGAAGUAGCCCCCAUGUUCACGUGAUCCCUUCUUCCCAUUCUUGCUCUAUAUAUUCAUAUACCCUUUCUUAUAUUUCCUCCACGUACACUUCUCAACAUGGACUCAUCCAAACUCUCAUUGCUCUCUCUCUGUCUCCUCAUUUGCAUUAUCUGUUCUCCCCAACACUCACUCUCAUGCGGUUCCUGCAACCACCAGAAGGGCGGAUUACCCUCAAUUAAACCCCCUGUCACCAUUCCCAAGCUUCCUGUUCCUCCGGUUACUGUUCCUAAGGUACCCGUUCCUCCAGUAACUGUCCCUAAUCUACCCGUUCCUCCUGUAACUGUUCCAAAGCUACCUAUUCCUCCGGUGACCGUACCUAAACUUCCAGUUACCGUACCUAAACUCCCAGUUCCUCCGGUGACAGUCCCUAAGCUACCCAUUCCGCCAGUGGCCAUUCCAAAGGUACCCGUUCCUCCAGUUACUGUCCCAAAGGUACCUGUUCCUCCUGUGACUGUCCCUGAGCUUCCACUUCCUCCAGUGGGCGGGCUACCCACAUUGCCACUACCACCAUUACCAGGGACUAUCCCACCAGCCACAGGAGGGAAGGAUUGUCCUCCAACCCCGGGUAGCGAGAUGCCCCCAUCAGGCAGUGGGAAGGCCACAUGUCCAAUAGACACGCUUAAGUUGGGGGCGUGUGUGGACUUGU
rnacentral:lncRNA from 1 species